rnacentral:lncRNA from 1 species
GUUUGUUCAUUUCAUCGAGAGCACCAUUCCAGAACCCCAAAAAAAAAAAAAAAAAAAGGAGCAAGGAAAAUUCAUCUAAAAAAAGCGAUUCCGUUCGAUUCAGUUGGCGAUUUCAAGCGUUCUGAAUUGAUCCCAGUGGCGGUCGCCCGCGUCAACAGCCUCUUCAAUGCCGCGACUCAUCUCCUUCGUUUCCCUUCCGCGGCCGAGAGCUUCGAAAUGUUAUCGUUCCGCUCGAAGCUUCUCCACCUGUUCAGGUUUCGAUCAUCGACACGUUCUAUAGCUUCUUUCAGUGAUUCGUGCGCCAAACCGCGGCCUCAGUCCACUUGAUUAACCGGGUAGCAUCUCCCGUUCUGUCGUCACAAGUAAGAGGCCGAGAGUCCGAUUCUCUUAUUAUGAUGAAAUUGAUCAUAGCUGACUUUUUUUUUCUUUGACUUCGAACAUCAUGUACUGAUUUAGGUUGAGUCUAGUUACAAAUUUGGGUUCGAAAUGGCUUUGAUCUGUUCCACAACCGAUUCACCACAAUCUGUUCGAUGAAAUGUGUCUGAGACCUUGGUGUGAAUUGAUUCCAGUAAUCGUCCGAUUUGAAAGCACAUUAGUGAUGUUCACUUGAUAUUGUUUGAUUUUUUAAUCUUUAGACAUGAUUACGAGUAUACACCAAUAGUUGCCAAGGAUUAAACUGACUCUCCGUUUGUUUCCUCGGUGGUUCCUGUGAUCUUUUGGUGAUUGGUGGUGGUUGGCGAGACGAGAAGGCUUGGAGUCACUGGCACACGCGUGAUCUUUGGGUGAUGAUCAUAGUACACCCUGUUGAACAGAAUUGAGAUGACGUCGCUGAGCAUGAAUCGCGAUCACGCCGAUUCAGAUCACUAACUUUGGGCCGACACAUGUUUCGGUCACUAACUGGAGCAAUGUUAUGGCUACUUGCUAGCCUUAUCGUUGCUGCUGAGUUGCCUCACAAUUUCCUCAACCGCCNNNNNNNNNNNNNNNNNNNNNNNNNNNNNNNNNNNNNNNNNNNNNNNNNNNNNNNNNNNNNNNNNNNNNNNNNNNNNNNNNNNNNNNNNNNNNNNNNNNNUCGUUGCCAUUGUAAUUGCUGUGGUAAACCUACCUUGCCAUACCGCCAUGCGUUACUGAUAUGGGUUGACGUACUGAUAGAGCUAUAUCCACUGCAUUUUGUUAAAAAUCGGAUCGCCUCAUACCACCGGCUUGUUUCUGGUCCAACUGAUUUUUAGAGUUGACUGUAUAUUCAGAUUUCCUUCACUCCUUUGUUUUUUAUGUUCAGGAUUUUGCGCAUCUUCUUAAACCGAAUCAUGGGAAAGCUAAGCGGUUCGAAGUCCAGUCGUCAUGGGGUCAAUACUUUGUCACAAAAUCAUCGCAGAUUACCUGCUUUGCCAUUCCUGUCUUGUCCUUUGGUUAUUGAUUACUCCACCUUCGUCAAUUUCAUUGUCCAGAAGCAGGUGCUAAAUCUGAGAACACCCACUAAAAUGAUAUUUUAUGUCUGUCGUCUACUUCCUGCUUUAUUCUCUGUGGAUGACAUAUUCUACUUCACACGUGCUGUCGAGGGAGAUCAUGGUCAACAAUCAAUAUGAAGUGAGCAAGUUGUAUUUACUCUCUGUCAUUAGUUGAUAAGCUUUUGGGUAUGACAAUCAAGGAAUGAAACCAGUUAGUAGCUUGCUCAGAAUUAGUAAAUGAGGAUUUAUUUCUUUCUUGGAAGUGUCAAUGCCAUCGCUUUGUCUCUGAUCGUGGAAAGAGUUUAUUGUUCUUUUUGAACUUGCAUAAAAAUCGAUGGAAUGCUUAUGAAGCAGUGAGAUACCCGGAAUUUACAAGUUUUAUGAAUUGGUGUGUCCUGUUGUUGCAUAUGCUGUAGUUUAGCGGUUAUUGUUCAUCUAUGUUUGCUGAACCGUUUGAUUUAUCACUUUCAAUUAACAAGAUUUUGAUAAAGACACGUGACAGUUGUGAGAGAUGCAUUGAAACUGGCACUUUGGUGAUGACAGUGCUCCUUCGAGUCACACUAUGUACUUGUUUUUAGGAAAAAUCAUUUAUGAUGUUGGAGAAGUGAAUAUGUGUUGAAGGUGCCAACCCCUUGUGAUCUUGGACCCACUCGUUGAAGAAAUGGAGAGGUAUAAACGUAAUUACUUUCCUUUUGAAGAAAUGAAGAGGUAUAAACGUAAUUACUUUCCUUCUCUUCGCAACAAUUCUGCCAUUCCCGUAGAAGUUCCAAGGGUACAAUGAGGUCACUUAAAAAUAAGAAAACAGAAAAUGGAGAAACAUUUUGAAUCGGAAGCAACUAAACUAGUGUUCUAUUAUGGUUUUCUCCUAAAAAAUGUGGUGCUUAGAACCAUUGAGAGAGAGCUUUCCGGAGUAAUGCUUACAACCGCGGCUGAUCAGUCAAAUAGCACAUUGGAAAAUGUACAGGACUAUGUUAAGCAGGGAGAACUAAGAUAGGUAUCCGCGUGCUUUAUUUUCUUUGCGCUUCCAGCUGAGUUGAAGCUAGAUGUAUAUAGUCGGCAUGCAUCUAUGAAAAAGUAUAUCUACAGUGUCAGAGUAAACGAGGUAGUCUGAUAAUUAUAAUGGAGGUAAUAUACAGUUUGCAGGCCCAGUAAUGGACAUGUGACGUUUGGCCAACAAAAUGAACAUACGAAGCACAAAACCAGAAACAAAAUCUUUCAUUGUCACCUGUCAGCACCGGUAAAAGCAUUACGCACCUGCAAACUUCAAACAUCUCACUUAACUGAGUCCAAACUCCAAAUCUUUGCAUGGAAAGUAGAAUUGGAUAACAAAAAUGUUCACAGCAUACAAAUAAGAGGGCGCAUGAAGCUAUUGCUUCAAUUUUGCUGCUGAAGAGCACCCCACUAAUUUCGGAAUCCUCUCUGCAACCGCAACUACCANNNNNNNNNNNNNNNNNNNNNNNNNNNNNNNNNNNNNNNNNNNNNNNNNNNNNNNNNNNNNNNNNNNNNNNNNNNNNNNNNNNNNNNNNNNNNNNNNNNNGUUUCCCAUCAAAAUUUGAUUCAUUAAGUCGAUGAAUGUAAGUGUCCCCAACGUAGUCCGAAAUUUGCUGCGUUCUUAAAUCUAGAGAAUAGCAAUAUUGUGUAUUUUUCCGACGGCUGGUCGCGUGCUUAUCUUUGCAUCUACAAAUCCAAAAAGGACAAGCUGUAACAAGACAGCCUACCAAAACACUAAAAUAUAGACCGAAGAUCACCAUACACCUUCCACAUCUUCCAAAACCACAUAUCAGACAAACCCAAAGAUAGAGCAAAUUGAGAUAGAGCAGAACGAAAGUAUUCUUCAGAGUCAGGUCACAGAUGGGCAUCCCUGAUGAUGUUGCAAUAUGGAGCCACAUAUGCGAUAAUGUUUAAUUCUUGCAAUCUGAUCAAGUAUGUGCCAUACUUAAAAUCUUUAGCAAUGUAAUUUAACCUUGCAAUAAAAUCAAAGGAAGACCCUUGGCACAUCACCAGCAUUGGAGAAUAUCAUAUUGACUUAUUUUAAACAUAAAGAUUGACAAAUCAAGGAAAGGUUAGUAAGCAUAUGUCUAUUGAUGGAUAUCCCAUGUGACACUUUUUCAUCUUUUGAUAUAUACUCAAGUUCAAAGUUACUUCUUUGCUACAAAUUUACAUGGAUGGAGCAUUAUCACAAUCAAUGGAAUAUAGCUUGAAAUGUGAAAAAUGACCAAGCACCAUCUUAUCUAAUAGCCAGAAGUUUGAGAUCAAAGAUCAGCACUUUGACAUCAUUAUGAUCACCUGUGUCAAUAAUGAGUACUUAAGUUCAACGCAUAAACUCAAUAAUUUAUGGUUGGCUAGUGCUAGUGCGAUCACCCUUGGACUCAUAAUAAAUUAGACACAACGGUGAUAGGACUAUUAGAUCAAAUAACCAUAAUGAGACACUGCAAAUAUUCUCGUAUCAGGGUAUAAGAAACAUAAAAAAAUAAGUCCAAGAAGCCACACUAUGGACCUAUUCCAAAUCAUCAGAAAAUGUCAUAAUCAAUUAAAGUGUUGAUAAAACCUCCAUAUAUAUUUUAAAAUUAACAAAACUAUCCAUGUUUGUAUUGAUCUUGGUAAUUGCAAAAAAGGCAUUUGUGUUUUAGGUACUAUCUAUGUCAAAAGGAUUCUUCUUGUCUAAAAAGAAAAUUAAAGAAACAAUGGAGAGUUGUGGACCUAAGCAAGUCCUUAAAAGGCUCAAGGAGGAAAUAUGCGAGAUAACCGCCCUGGGGUGGGAGUCCCUGCGCUGUCCUCCAUAUUCCCUCUUUGUCGGGAAGAUAAAGAUAAACAGGGAAUUUUGGGGCCUCUCGAUGGGGAAGGUAGACUUCACGUCAAAGCUUGCUUUGGCUACCGCCGGAUAGGGUGGUAUAGUCGAUACCCGCGUGUGGGGUGAGAAAGGGUGGGUGAAAUGCCCACUGCUGUGUCAGCAUGCCUUACGGCACGGUUCCCAACCAUUGGCUAACAUAGUACCCCUGGUAUAUGUGCGAUAUCAACAAGGCAACAGGCUAGAUAUCAGUAGAGUCCCACAAAAGCUAAGUAUAAGCAUGAAAUUGGUUUACAAGAUUAUUUUUCGAGACAUUUUAUCUCAUUUUUAACAACUUGUGAUUAGGUAUGAAUUGCCUCUUAAGGAAAUAUUGAUUGUCUAUCUCAGAGAUUGUCUUAGCAAAAGACUCAAUCUUGUAAGAUAUUUUGAUUGAUUGGCAAUCAUCUUCAAAGGCAAGUUUCUUUCCAUAGUAGAAGCGUUCUAUUUUUUAGAACCAAGGUUUAAUUGUAUAGGCGACCAAAUGAAAAAGUCACAUUUCAUAUUCUUCCCUAAAAUAUAUUUUGUUUUAUCUUUCAUAAUAUAAUCGUCAUUACUAUAUGCAUCUUCUUGUUUAUUUCUCAUAACGAAACGCAUAACCAAUACACUAUCGUCCUCAUGAACUACAUUGUCUACCACAUUAACAUGUCUUAUCUUAUUUUAUUUUAUUUUAUUUUGUAAAUUGAGGUAUUGCAUUAAACAUCUUAACAAAUUUUAUUCUAUUUAGGAAACAAAAAGUAACCAUUUGGUUAAGAUAAUAUAUUUAUGAUAGUGUAAUUGGUCAAGGUGGUGACAUUGUUCUAUAGUCAGUUCAUACUAUCCGAUCACUAAUGACAGCGACCUAUAACAAGGAUUGCUCAUUAAUUUUAUUUUCUAUAUUUUGUUAUUAAUUAAAUAUGCAAGUUCAGUUAGGUGUGCCGGAUCUUGACUUUCAAUAGAAGCUUCAUGUGCACUUGCUCGAAGAUUUAGAUUUAUGGAUUUUAUUGAUCACAUGUUGUUGGACGAUGUCAAUUACAAAGUUUGGAUUAUUUAAGGUUUGUGCCGAGAUGAUGUGGCAUUAACAUAUAUUCCCAAAUAUGAACCCAAGAUGCCAACAACUCAGGAAGGGCCAAGAGUUUGUGAAAAGGAAAAAGAAGGUUGACCAAAAUUAUCUUGUUUAGGUGGUGAGAUAGAUUUAACGUCAUGUAUAACUCAAUUAGUUGAUGAUUGUGUAAACAAGAUCGUCAUAAUCAUCCAAUUUGCCCAAACAAGGAAAAACAAAUGUUCUCAUAUUUACCAUCAAUCGAUUUUUAAUUAUCUCGAUAAUCUAAUAUCCAUAUAGUAGAUUCUUCAGAAUUGUUACUAUAUUAAAUAUGCUAAUAUGCUUGUAACUCCAUUCAAACUGGGAUAUGGAGCCUAACCCAAUUCCCAUCUUUAGUAAAAUAUUCACGUCUAAUUUUCAAAGGCCAUUAAACGGCAGAAAAGAAGUGGCUCUGCGUAGAGGGAUUGUAUUCUGGUUUUCUAAUAAAUUAGGUAUCUUCUUCAAAUUAUAUGCCAAUGAGUAUAUCAUUAUCAUUAAAUGCUGUCGUAAUCUACUUUAUUUAUUUAUUCACUAAAAUUAGUUGGUGGAGAAUACGCACCUUCCGCAUAAUGCUACGGAAAUAAUAAUCCAAGGAGUGACGUUUUUGUGAUUGACUCGUGUAUGCACCGGAAUCAUGGGAGUACUGCUAUGCGGGUUAGUUUUCUUUUCUAUUUCUCUUAUUAAAAUAACAGCAAAGUCAAGUCAACAAGCACGAGCAUAGGAUUCUUCCAUGCACCUCCUGCAAACUGCUGUAGAAAUUACGCGUGCAUUGAUUGACCUGUGGAAAUUGGUUUUGGUGAGAAUUGAUGGUUGGUCUUCAUUUCUACUUCUUUAUUAGUAGAAAAAGCAAGUCAAGUCAAAAAGUGUAGGAUGGUCCCUGCGCCUGCUGCAAAAUGUAGUGGAAAUUACGCGGGCAAGAGUCGCCCUAGGGUUGUGUUUUCUAUUUCUCUUAUUGAUACAAAAGGCAAGGCAAGUCAAGUCAAGGUCUUGCUCGCUUUGGAUGAAUAAAAUGUUUAGAAAUAAAAUAUCAUUAACAUUGGAAAUAUUUUUUUAUUAAUUAAUUAUUUUAAUAAAUAUAAAUAAUCAUUUUUAAAAUAUAUUUUAAAUGAUAUAAUGACAUUAUUUUUUAUUAAUUAAUUAUUUCAAAUAAUACAAGUAAACAUAAGAUUUUUUGUUUCGAGAAUUCACUUGCAUUUCUCUAAAAACUUAAUCAAUAAAAAAUAUUUUCAUUAUCAAUGAUAAUUUAUAUUUAAAUAUUUUCAUGAAUAAUUCAUUUAUUAAUUUUAGUAAGUAAUAUAAAUGAUUAUUUUUAAAAGAAUAUUUUUUGAAGUAUUUAUGUUUUCUAGAACAAACGCAUUCUAGAAGCUCCAAACAAAUGUUAAACUGAUGUGAUGAAGUAUUAAGGUGCCCUAUCAAGGGCCCCAACGUGAAAUCCUCGAAGUUGCCAUACCGCUUGUACGUAUCAAAGAAACUCAAAAAAAUCUACCCAGACUGAUACGAACUAGACAAACUGGUGGACUAGAGAGAGAGAGCCAUGUAAGAUGAACUAAAGAUAAGGAUGGAAUCUUGAACACCCAAUGAAACAAGAGAUACAGAUAUCACAAGAUAAGGCUCAAAAUUCAUUUAUAAUAUGUUUCGUGGUGUGUUUAGGCUAUAGACGGGUCAUGUCUUUCAUUCUCAUUGGAUGCGCAGGAAUCCAAUAUCCUAAUAUAUUAUAUAGGUGCGUUUCAAAGGUUGUGGUCUCCAAAUAUGCAAACAUUUUCUUUUUUCUAAUAAGGUGCUAAUUUGUCUAAACCUUAAUGCGAGUGGAAAUCCAUCACUGACCUCGCCAGUAUUUUGCAUGAUCUAAUUUCAAAUGGUAGAAGAUUAAUGGGCAAGUUGAGCCUAGAAAUCCUUGCCCAAGAUCGAUCAUGAAUAUAGAAUAGGAAAAUACUACCAACCCCAGGUCUAUUUGGAGAGAAUUUAUCUUUUGUUUUUUCAUAAAUCUUUUUUUAGUUUUUGCCGCACUCUUAGUUUAAUAUUCCUUAAUUUUAUGCAAUUAAAAUAUUUGCACUCACAUUAAGGACCCAAUUGCACUAUCACUUGAAUUAUUUUCCUAAAAUUAACUAUUUAUAUCAUUUAAAAUAAUUAUUUAAAAAUAUUUUAAUCAAUAAAAAAUAUUUUAUUAUCAAUGAUAAUUUAUAUUUAUAUAUUUUGCAUUUUUUUAAAAAGCGAGCAAGACUUUGACUUGACUUGUCGUGCCUUUUCUAUGAAUAAGAGAAAUAGAAAAGAAAAUCAAAGGGCAAUCAUCAUUGCCCGCGUAAUUUCCAUUGCAUUUUGCAGAGGUACCAGGGACGGGUGGGACCAUCCUCUGCUUCUGGACUUGACGUACUUUUUCUACUGAUAAAGGAAAUAGAAAUGAAAACGAACAAGCAAUUCUCCUCCAUCUAAUUUCCACAGGGCAAUCAACUGCGUGCGUAAUUUUCACAGCAAUUUGCAGAAGGUGCGUGGAACCAUCUUGUGCCGGUGCUUCUUGACUUGACUCUGCAUUUUUCUGUUAAUAAGAAAGAUAGAAAAGAAAACUAACCAGCAUAGCAAUGCUCCCGUGCUCCUGAUGGCAAUUUAAACAAGUUAAUAAAAAAAAAUCAUUUGUCAGAUUAUUAUUUUUGUGGUAUUAUGCGGAAGGUACGUACUUUCCACCAACUAAUUUUAAUAAAUAAAUAAAUAAAAUAGAUUGCGAUAGCAUUUAAUGAUGAUGGUUUGCUUAAUGGCUUAUAGCUUUGAUGAUGGGGUGCACUGAAAAGGAAAAUUAGAAAUUUGUUUCUUUUUUCUUUCAUCAAUCUUUCUUUUAUCUAAAUAAAUUACUAACUCAGUCAUGUAUAUUUUCAGAUGAUGAGGAAACCCUUCCAAUUUCCAUUACUCAUUCAAAUAAUGAAAGUUUCGCUCAUUUCCUCUAGAUAUUUUGCCUCCCAAGCAAGUAAAAGUCCAUGACCUCACUAAUUCCAUCAAUUAUUGCUACACUUCUCGAUCCUCAAAAGAGUCUGAACCAAUGUUUAUCAUUUGUCUAGAUAACUUCUUGAUCCUCAAAAGAGUCUGGACCAAUAUUUAUCAUUUGUCUAGACAACUUAUAUAACUAACAAACUUUUCUCCUCCUAGAUAUCUAGGAUUUCUAACUUUUUUUCUUUUCCUCGGGGAGGGAUUCGCCCAUCGGUGACGCCCACCAAUUAUUAGAAGCAUCGUUAGGAAAAAAAUAAAUGCACCCUACUAUGCGACAAAGUUACAUUCCAUAUUCUUCCUUAAAAUAUAUUUUGUUUUAUCUUUCACAAUAUAAUUAUUAUUAAUCCAUCAUUUGUUUUUUUUUUCAUAACUAAACACAUAACCGGUACGAUGUCGUCCUCAUAAACUACAAUAUGCAUCAUAUCAUAAUGUCUUGUUACGUUUUUCUGUUUUUUUAUUUUUAUUUUCGUUUGUAAAUUGAGGUAGUGUAUUGAACAUCAUUUAGUUAUGGUGAUAUAUUUUAAUAGUGUGAUUGGUCAAGGUCGUGAUAUCAUUGUAUAGUUAGUCCGUACUAUUCAAAUGCUAAUGAUAGAGACCUGUAACGAGUAAUGCUCGUUAAUUUUCUUUUAUAUAUUUUGUUAUUGAUGGAAAAUGCAAAUCCAAUCAAGUGAGCUGGAUCUUAGAUUUCCAUCGAAGCAUCACUUGCACUUGCUUGAAGCUUCAAGUCUAUGGAUUUAAUUGUUUGCAUGUUGUUGUAGGAUGUCAAUCGCAAAGUUUGGAUUAAUUAAGGUUUUUAAAGAGAUGGUUCGGCAUUAACAUGUAUUCCCAAAUAUGAACCCAAGAUUCCACGAACUUGGGUGGGGCCAACUACAAUGUCUUGUGAGUUUGUGAAAAGGAAAAAAGAACAUUUGAUCAAAAUCAUAUUGUUUACGUCAUGAAAUGGAUUUAACAUAAUGCAGUAAAUCAAUUAGUUAUUAAUCGUGCUAACAAGAUCGUCAUAAUUGUCCAACUUGCCCAAGCAAGGACAAACAAAUUUUCCCGUAUUUACUAUCACUUCAUUUUUAAUUGUCUCGAUAAUCAAAAAUACAUAAAUUGUAGAUUCUUCACAAUUGUUACUAGAUUAAAUGUGCUAACAUGCCUAUAGCUCCAUCCGAACUUGAACAUAGAGUUUCACCCGAUUCCUCUCUUUAAUAAAAUUUCCACAUCUAAUAUUCAUUCGGCAUUAAAUAGUAGGAACAAAGUAGUUCUAUGCACAAAUGUGAUGGUCGUAUUACGAUUUUAUGAUAAAAUAGGUAUCUUCUUCAAAACUAUAUGUCAAUAUGCAUACCAUCAUCAUUAAACGCUACAGAAAUUUACUUUUUUUUUCUUUAAUAAAAUCAGGGAGAGAGAGAGAGCGCAUUAUCGCAAUCUGCACAAUCGGAAUUGAUUGUUGCUUUUCGGUUCUAUUUCUUUAUUCACAAAAAAAAAAAGUAAGUCAAGUCAAAAAGCAGACGUACCUUCGAUGAUGCUGGUGUGCAAUAAUUAUCCUGUCCGCAGCACGCGACUUGGAUCGUUGGAUGGCACAUUUAUCCUACAGAGAGAGAGAGAGAGAGAGAGAGAGAGAGCAUUAUCGCAAUCUACACAAUCGGAAUUGAUUGUUGCUUUUUGAUGCUAUUUCUUUAUUCACAAAAAAAAAAGUGGGUUGAGUCAAAAGGCACACGUACCUUCGCAUUAAUGCUGGUGUGCAAUAAUUAUCCUGUCCGCAGCACGUGACUUGAGUUGUUGGAUGGCAACUCAGCAUUAUGUGCUCUUUUGGACAGAUCUCCUUGGAAAGAAAAAAAAAGAAGAGUAGAUUUUUGAUUGAAAAUAAUAAAUUAUCCUUAUUCGAAUAUCUAAAAAAGUGUCGUACUGACAUUUAUGUUAUAAUAUGUUUUUGUGAUUGACUCAUGUCUAUUAGUACUGGCAGCAUCGGAGUCUUGCUGGUUAGUUUUCCUUUCUUUUUCUUUUAUUAAAAGUUUAAAAAGUAAGUCAAGUCAAAAAGCACUCGCAUAGAAUGGCCCCACGCACCUCAAGGUUCCAGUACCUACCGCGUAAUGACGCAGGUACCAUCAAACAACAAUUUCUUUCAUUUUAAGUACUUAAAAUGAAAGAAAUUCAGUACUAAAAAAUUUCAGUAAUUAUUUUCCAGUUUUAUCUAAACGGGCAUGUGCUCGCCGCUUAAUUUUCACAAAUGAAUAAAGUUCAGUGUUGGCCAAAAAAAUAAAAGAUUGAGUGAAGUUGAAAAUCGAGUUAUGACACGUAAGGUUCGACUUGAAAUUACCAAUGCAAUCAUUUACUUUAAGCCAUUAGAGUACAAUGCUAAAUACAUUUUAGAUCUUAACAAAUUAUUUGGUUUGAUUUCUAGCUUUUUCUUAACAACGAAGCAUAGAUCAAGUAUGUUAAUCCACAUAUCAACAAACUCUCCAUUUAUGCAAAAUAUUGGGCAAGACAUAAUCUCCAAAUACAAAAGAGUUUAUGCUUACAAAUAUGAGGAACCAACACAUAUCGCGUGGUUAGUUUUCGUAUACUAAUUUUUACUUUAUAUUCCCUCACGCCUCUCAUAGUUGAACUUAAAAUUACUUAAAAGAUUCAAAAUAUUCAUAUAUCGUCACAUAGAUAAUUAUACAUUCAUGUUUGUAAUUUAACUUAAAGAAUGUACAUAUUUAAAAUAUUUUAAAUGUAAAACAUCAAAUAUAUUUUUAAGUGCAACCUAAAUUUUUAUCAAAGGGCGGCAUACCAAAAAUUUUCUUCUAUUUUGAAAGAGGUAAUGCGCCUCAUUAGUCAUUAGAGAAAAAGGCCAAAACAUGGAGCCGCGGCCACCUCAGCCAGCGCUGUCGAGGAGUGUAGCAUAUUCCCAUCUCAUUUUUCAAAAGCCAAAAGAAAUUGCUCCGAAAGUCCAACCCCAAAGUCGCGUCGGUCGGGGAGAAGGCGGGAACUUGCUCGGACCGCGCGCCACGGGAGCUCGAGGGGGCAAUUCAGUACAUUCGGAGCGGCCGAAGAUAUCCUCGAGGUGCGAGGUGGGGACCACGCGUGGGCUUCGGUUUCUGAGCAGCUGACCGUCGUAGCGGUCAAGCAAAGUGGAGAGGAGGAGCGACGUGGGUCCGCUUUAAGAGACAACUUAGGCAGAAUCCACGAAGCAAAUGUCUACUCUGUUUCGUGGAUAAAAGGUUCUGGGACAGUCGGACGGCAAUAACUCAGCAUCGUUUAAGCAAGUAGGGGAGAGUGUUGAGUGUAGUUAAUCCGAGGUCGAAGGGUGAGAACCGGCAGAGAUCACAGCAGUGGGUGGAUUGUGUUGUUUGAGCACUCCUAGGUAAUCGAUUCCUCCAUUUUCUUUUGAUGAGUUUCGAUUUGAGUUCUUAGGGACAUUUCUGCAUUCCGAGAUCUGAACUGUGAAAUCUAGCCCUUUUUUUAAAGGCUUUGCUCGAUAAAUCUCUUAUUUGGUCAAAUCACACUUUAUUUUUGUUUGAAUGCAGCUACGAAUUGAGCUCUGACAAACAUUUCAGCAAUUCCCAUACGUGGGUUUCCAUAUUUCUCUUCACUAUUUCCUGGUUUCCUUUGAGGCUCUGCUCCAUCAAUCUCUUUCACCGUCUUUGUAGGUGAUGACGGCAGCGGAGCCUAAAAGAUUCGAUAUGUGGGGCGUCUUCCUUUCUGUUUGAAUUUAGCUACAAAAUGAACUCUGACUGACAUUUCAGCAAUUCCCGAAUCUGGGAUUCCGUAUUUCUCUUUGUUUGCUGCUUUUCUUCGAGGCUCUGCUCCAUCGAUCUCUCCAUUUCCUUUAUAGGUGAUUACAAAGGCGGAGCCUAAAAGAUUCGAUAUGUGGGGACAUUCAGAAGAUCCCAAUUGCGGGGCUUCUUCCUCAUCGACUUCUACACCUGUAGGUGAUUAUGAAGGCAGAACCAAAAAGAUGAAAAGAAAUGACUACGAAGUGUUCUUGAGCUUUAGAGGGAAGGAUACUCGCAACGGUUUCACCGAUUAUCUCUAUAAUAGUCUUGUCAAUGCAGGAAUUCAUGUGUUCAGAGACGACAAUGAGCUUUGCGUUGGUGAGGAGAUCGGACCGGAACUUCUCCGCAGUAUUACACAAUCUAAGAUCUCCAUCCCGAUUAUCUCAGAGGACUAUGCUUCCAGCAAAUGGUGCCUUCGUGAGUUGGCUCUUAUGUUGAAUUGCAAGAGAAACAAAGGGCAAAUGGUGUUGCCCAUAUUUUACAAAGUGGAACCUUGGCAAGUGAAGCAUCUCACAGGGAGAUUUGGAGAUGCUAUCAAUACACAUAAAAAGAAUUUGGAAGAAAAGAUUGUGAAGGAAUGGGAAGAAGCACUCAAAGAAGUCACUUCCUUGAAAGGAUUGGAAUCGGAGAAAAUUGAUAAUGGGUAUAUUAUUCUCUACCACAACAUUGUUUACUUUCUCAUAACUAGAUUUUACUUGAAAAAUAAUACGAAUAUUUUCAUCAUAUAUUGAAUUUUUUAUUGUUGUUCGACAGGCGUGAAGGAACAUUGGUUAAAAUAGUUGUCAGAAAAGUUAUGAGUAAGUUAAAGGAAUUGUUUUUGCUAAAUGUUCCCAAACAGUUGGUGGGAAUUGAUGAUCAUGUGGAGGAUAUUAUGCACUUCAUAGAUGCUAAAUUUAACGAUACAAGUAUUAUCGGAAUCUAUGGAAUGGGCGGCAUCGGUAAGACAACUCUUGCGAAGGUAUUGUACAAUAAGCUUUUAAGUCAUUAUGAAUCUCAUAGCUUUGUGGCGGAUAUCCGAGAAAAAAUUAAGCUAAAGGGUCUUGAAUGCAUGCAAAAGCAGCUCAUUUCUGACAUAAGUGGAGGCUUAUGUGAUGUGUCUAGUGUCGAUCACGGAAUCAGUAUCCUUAAAUCUCGAUGUAUAAGUAAGAAAGUACUCAUUCUUCUUGAUGAUGUGGAUGAUAAUACUCACCUGAAUGCUUUGGUCGAAGACGGUAGUUGGUUUAAAGCUGGAAGUAUGAUCAUCAUCACCACUAGAGACGAGAGUAUUCUUGACAAGGCUGGGGUAAGACACAAGUAUCAACUCAAUGGGUUGCUUUCAGAGCAAUCAUUGGUUUUAUUUAGCAGACAUGCAUUUCGAACGGAUUCUCCUCCGAGUGAUUAUUGGGUUAUCUCUCGUGAUAUCGUAUCUACUACUGGGGGGCUUCCUUUAGCUCUUGAAGUUAUUGGUUCAUUCUUAUGUGGAAAGAAAAAAGAAGCAUGGAAAGCUACAUCAAAAAAAUUAGAGAAAGUGCCUCAUAAGAAAGUGCAAGAGAAGUUGAGAAUAAGUUAUGACGCAUUAGAUUUUGAGGACCAGCAGAUUUUUUUGGAUAUUGCAUGUUUUUUUGUCGGAUCAUCUAAACAAAAUCCAACUUACAUGUGGGAUGCCUGUGGUUUUUUCCCGGGAAAGGGGAUUGAAGUAUUGAAUCUUAUGUCCCUAAUUAAAAUUACUGAUGAUGGCGAGCUAAUGAUGCAUGAUCAGCUGAGAGAUCUUGGAAGGGAAAUUGUUCGUCAAGAAAAUCUAAAGAAGCCUCAAAAGCGUAGUAGACUGUGGGAAUAUGAGGAUGGCAUAGAUGUGCUUCUCAACAACAAGGUAAGAGUUUUUCUCUGCUUGUCUUAAUCGUCGAAUGUGAGCCCAUCUUCUCUUUCUUGUUUAAAAUAAUAAUUAUAGUCAAUCAUGAGUCCCCAAAACUGGUUGCGUCUACUGGCAAGAGGGCUCUUUUAAUUAAUUGUACUUCUUGUCGGACUUUAGGACAAAAUUGAAGAGCAAUUUCUUGGUUAUUAGUAACUAAUAUUUUUAACUAGUAAAAUUGUGAUGAGGAUACUCUCCUUUUGCUAGCUUCAAGAAAAAACAAAGCUACAAAUUAAUGUUCGAUAGAGCACUUUUAAAGAAAAUCGAAUAUCUAUAAAUUGUUGGGGCCAUGCUUUCCCACAUUUUUGUUUGGUGCACAGGUUGAUGUUUGGAUUCUUAUAUUGAUUUCUUUUAAGGUAUUUUCUUUCUUUUUUCUUUUAACAAGUACCGACUUCUUAAGAGUUUGCUACGAUGAAUGAGACCAUUCAUUAAUGAUGAUUAGCUAUCCCGAUUCUUGAAUUUUUCAAGUUGGGUAAAGUAUAGAUUUAGUCCCUCAAGUAAUACUAUUUGUAAGAUUUAAUCCCCUUUCUAUUUUUUGCUCAAUAUCAUUCUCCAUCUUUCACAGUUUGUGCAAUCAAGUCCUUUGUAGUCAACCGUAAAUGAACAUGGUCAAUUUGUUGAUGUGACUUUCAUAAACUAUAAAUAAAUAUGGUUAUAAUUAAUAUAAAUCCUAGUUAUAAUUAGAAAUCUAACAUUGAUAGAGUGACUUGGAAAAAAAGACAUGAAUUUUGGGAAUAACUAUUACUACGAGUAAAUAUUGUAAUAGACUAUAAUAGCCAUUACGGUAAUGAAACGUGCUCUAAUAAUCUAAAUGCAUGUAAUAAUACAUUGCUACAUAAUGUGUAUGUAACUAAGGGGUAGUAUAUGUGUACAACUAAACAGUAUAUAUUAUGCGGUAAGAUCUUUAGUUCAAAGUAAGAUGUUAGGAAAAAAAAGUAGAAAUUUUCCAAUAAACAGGAUUAAUAAAGCGAUAAAUACUUUACUUAGAUUUUUAACACUCAAAAUACUAUAAGCUUUUGCUUCGUACUCUAAUCUUAAUAUCUCGAUCUUCUCUAAUAGUCUCAAACUUGACCAAUUUGCAAUAAUUAAAGGUGGUCAAGGACUUACACUGAUGAUCUAAAUUGCAAUACUAAAGACAUCUAGAAUCGACUUAUAGGAAACUCCAUCAAACACAAAGGGAAUGCUCUAUCACUUUGAUCCAUAUCUCUCUAGCUCUUCCCAUUUAAUGUCUUCCGGUUGGUUUGAGGAAUGAACUGGACACGUGUCAAAUGAUUGGUGAAAUAAUUGGUGAAGCAAAAAUUCCCAUAGCACACUCAUGCAACUCACCAUCUCACAUUCUUCUUCUGAUCUGUGCAUUUUUUUCUUUUUUCUCUCUUUUGAAAGCUCCUUCACAAAAGUUAGUCUAAUCAUAUUGAGUUUAUCACAAUAUUUACAUUCUACUUAAUCCUUGAAAAUACGAGUUAUUACCUUACAGUAGACUUCUGCUACUAUUACAAUCUACAACACUUGAAAAAUAGAGAAUCUAAAUAGUCUUUUCUUGCAUUAUAAAGGAGAUAUUAUAUAAAGAAGUUAUCGCCAAAAAAAGAAGAGUAAAAGAGGUUGCAUAAAGAUGUGUUAUUAAGAAAUAAAAAUAAAGAAGUGGAAAGACAAAGGGAAGUAACUAAGGAAUACUAAUAGAUAGUAAAAUAAUGUAUCGAAGAGGACGCACUAUGGAUGUUCAUUCAAUUAGUAUAUUAUAAAUAAUUAGUAUAUUGUGCUAAUUAGUAUAUUAUAAAUAAUUUUCAACAUAAUAAGUGAUAAUGAGUUAUCAAGAUAACAUAAUCACUAUUUCAUCAACUAUUUACCAUUUUUAUUUCAUAUUUUCUAUGUCAAUGAUAUAAUAAGUGAUCAAGAUAACAAAUAUUCAUGAUCUUGACAAUUUCAUGGAAGAAUAGUUAUUACGAUAUCUCUGUAUACAUAGACAUAUCUGAAAAUUAAUUCCCAAGUCACAAUUUCUAUGAAAAGUGUUUAAAAGAAUUUUUAGAGGUGAAAUUGUGGAUUUGUUUACAACAUUAUAAUAUAUAUUGGCAAUGAUAUAUUUUAACAAUACUUUUAUAAUUUUAUUUGAGAGCUAUGUAUUCUCAACAAAAUAUAUAUUAAUAAAGUUAUUUCUCAAUACCAUAAUCAUAAAAAUUUUAAUGUUGAAGUAUUAUCUAAACUAAAAUUUUUAACAUGAUACUUGUUAAACUUGGUUAAAUAUUUCAACCAUACAUACAUGACCUUUUUCUUUAUAUAGAGGAUGAGUGAUGAAGUGACUUUUUAGUUACAACAUUUUUAAAUAUUUAUAGAAGAAUGAUAAUUAGUAAUAAAACUAAACAAUUUCACAAAUGUAUGCUGGCACAGAAGUGAUAUUAACAUAAUAUAAUUAUUCUUCAUGUCCAAUCUAUCUCUUAGCAAGAUCUCAUUAAUUUAUGGGCAAAAUUGAUCAUAAAUAUUAGAUGACUGUUAUUUCUUUGUAACAAAAUCAAAAUGAAAUGAAAAGUUAGCAUCAAACAUAUAUAGUAAUAAAAAGAGAAGUGAAAAUCAUGCAUAUAACUUGUUGAAGAAACACAUGAUAAGAAAGGAAUGUAAAACAUGUGUGUACUUCUUGGGAUGGAAUUCUUAUUUUCAUUUUGCUAUCGAGAAUUGUAAACAAGGUAUGAAAGAAAAAGAGGGGAAUUCUACAAUUGGGAUUCUUUAGUAUUGAUACAUGCUUUGACAGUAAAUUUGAUAUAUGCAUUUGAAGUUUUGAACUGUAAGAGACAUGUUGUUUCACAUAUAAAGGAUAUGAGUUAGUUUGUUAUUUCCCAUAUAUAGGGCACGGAAUUUUCAAGUGAUGUUUUCUUGAAAAGAGGCCUUCUAUAUUAAUUUUGAAAGGAUGGGAAUUUGGGGAAUUUAAAAGCUGCAAAUUGUGAAGGGCAUAAUUGGAAGAGGAAAAGUUUGGGAAGACCCUCUAGAGGUUCACAUUUUUACAUGGAUUACCACAACCUGUCAUGUCAUGAUAGUACGACAACAAAUUUGAAAUCAAUACAUUUUUUCUCAUAUAUAGUUGCUUUCAACCCAUUAUUCAAAACAACGAUUUACAAUGUUGCCUAAUUGCAGGGCACUAGUAAAAUUGAGGCCCUGCGUCUUGACUUCGAUAAUGGGAGAGAAAGUUACACGGCUGAGACAUUUAAAGAAUUGACCAAAUUGAGGAUACUUCAACUGGAAGGUGUGAAUCUCACUGGACAUUUUCAGAACUUGUUUCCUCAACUAAGAUUGCUUGAGUGGAUGGAUCAUCAACCGGAUUUUGAAUUGACCAACUUUCACCUGAAGAAAUUAGUCGUGCUCGAUUUGUCGGGGGGCGAGACUUCAGAGAACUGGGGAGGAUGGAGUCAACUAAAGGUAAAAUGUAGAAAAGGCAUAUCUCUUAUAAAUAAUCACGUGUUGUCGAUGGGCCCAAUUGCACCAAGUUAUCCUUUAUUUCUUCUGAAAAUAUAUAUUAUGGAUUUUCCUCUAAGCAUAAGAGGAAUUUAUAGGCACCUAAAUAUGUCAAAAGUUUCUACCCCUUAAUAUUUUAACAAGCUAGUCAUGCUUAACGUUAGUCCUACUAAUAAAAGCUUUUUUAAUCGUAUUAAUUAACAUCUAUCAAAAAUAUAAUUACAAUAAUGUGCCCAUGUUAAUUUUAAUCUAAAUGGUUUAUGGCUUCUAGUUAAUUUCUCCCCAUGCAAAAGUAUGUCUUUUUAGCAAUUCUUGUUAUAUGUAUGUAUGUAUCUUCUUUCAUGGAGAUGCAAAGAUCCUCACAGUGACUUGUGUUUUACAUACAUACUAAACUUCUAAAUUCAUUGUUACUUUUAGAGUAAUGGAAAUAAUUUGUGAACUACUCUGACUUGUUGCGCACAAUAAUUAUUCAUUAUUAUUGUUGAUUGUUGAAGUCACCGUACAACACAUUAUAAAGUAGUAAUGUUAUAUGAGUAAUACAACACUUUUUUAUGUCUUGUACAUAUAGCAUUUUAAAAUUGUUUUUCAUAAUUACAGUAGCCAUUUCUCUUUAAUUUCAUACUAAUUGAAGGAAAACACGGCACCAAAUGCAUGCAUUUAAUUUCUGCCAUUUGUUGUCAUCUGUAAUUUGAUAAUAAAAUUUGUGUAUCUCUAUUCAAUAAAUAACAACAUAGUCAUAACUUCGAAAAACUAAAUAUGAUAUUUUCUAAGAAAUUUUAUUUACAAAAAAUUGUAGAUAGCACUCAUACAUCCCUAACAUUGUCUUCGCAAUGAUAUGCUUAAAAACAUUUAUAUGCCAGCUUAGCCGAAUAUACUAUUGAAAAGAAAUAUUUAAAAUUAAAUAAGAUAGCUGUGUAAGAGUAGGGAGCAUAGGUUUUGUUUUUUUGUCCAAUCUCAAAGUGGUAACCUCUUUCUUUCAGAUAGCAACCGAGCUCAAAGUUCUCAACCUUUCGAAUUGUGCUUUAAGAACAACUCCCGACUUGUCCGCUUUCAAGAGCUUGGAGAUUUUGAUACUUGAAGCUUGUGAGGAUCUAAAAGAGAUUCAUCCUUCUAUCGAGGACAUCGAGACCCUUGUCUCCUUGAAUGUCAGUGAUUGUUGGCAACUGAUGGAGCUACCGCUAGGAGUAGGUAGAAUGGAAAAUUUGAGCAAGCUUCUUAUAAAUGGCACUAAUAUACGAGAGAUUCCUAUUUCAAGAGGUUGUUUGACAAAGCUGGAGACUCUAAAUGCCUCAAAUUGUAGACGGCUUACUCAACUUCAAGAAUCCUGGGGCUCCCUUAUGUCGUUAACUCAACUAAACCUAAAUGAAACAGAAAUUGAAGAACUACCUGAAUCUAUUGGAUCAUUAAAGAAGCUCAAGACUCUAAAUACCUCUGAUUGUGCAUCGUUAACCUACCUACCCAACUCAAUAGGCGAUUUAGCAUCUCUAUGUUGCCUUGACCUAAGCAAUUGCCACAAGCUUGCUCAACUUCCAAACUCCAUAGGCUCCCUCGUGUCUCUAUCGCAAUUAUUGUUGUCGGGAUGCCACUCGUUGAGACAAAUUCCAGACUCGAUUGGAAAGUUGACAUCAUUAACUGAGCUGCAUUUGAAAUCUACAGCCAUUGAAGAAUUACCUGAAUCCAUUAGUUCUUUGAAGGAGCUCGAGACUCUAGAUGUCUCUUAUUGCAAAUCGUUAGCCCGCAUACCCAACUCAAUAGGCAAUUCAACAUCUCUGUCUCACUUUGACCUAACAGGAUGCCAUAAACUGGUUCAACUUCCAGACUCUAUAGGCUCAUUCGUGUCUCUACAACAGUUGUUACUGUCGGGAUGCCACUCGUUGAGACAAAUCCCAGACUCGAUCGGAAAGUUGACGUCAUUGAUUGAGCUGCAUUUGAAAUCUACGGCCAUUGAAGAAUUACCUAAAUCCAUUGGUUCUUUGAAGGAGCUCAAGACUCUAGAUGUCUCUUAUUGCAAAUCGUUAGCCCGCAUACCCAACUCAAUAGGCAAUUCAACAUCUCUGUCUCACUUUGACCUAACAGGAUGCCAUAAACUGGUUCAACUUCCAGACUCUAUAGGCUCCUUCAUGUUUCUAAAGCGGUUGUUACUGUCGGGAUGCCACUCGUUGAGACAAAUCCCAGACUCGAUCGGAAAGUUGACGUCAUUGAUUGAGCUGCAUUUGAAAUCUACGGCCAUUGAAGAAUUACCUAAAUCCAUUGGUUCUUUAAAGGAGCUCAAGACUCUAGAUGUCUCUUAUUGCAAAUCGUUAACCCGCAUACCCAACUCAAUAGGCAAUUCAACAUCUCUGUAUUGCCUUGAUCUAACAGAAUGCCAUAAACUUGCUCAACUUCCAGACUCUAUAGGCUCCCUGGUGUCUCUACAGCGGUUGUUAUUGUCGGGAUGCCACUCGUUGAGACAAAUCUCAGACUCGAUUGGAAAGUUGACAUCAUUGAUUGAGAUGCAUUUGAAAUCUACGGCCAUUGAAGAAUUACUUGAAUCCAUUGGUUCUUUGAAGGAGCUCGAGACUCUAGAUGUCUCUUAUUGCAAAUCGUUAGCCCGCAUACCCAACUCAAUAGGCAAUUCAACAUCUCUGUCUCAUUUUGACCUAACAGGAUGCCAUAAACUGGUUCAACUUCCAGACUCUAUAAGCUCAUUCGUGUCUCUACAACAGUUGUUACUGUCGGGAUGCCACUCAUUGAGACAAAUCCCAUACUCGAUCGGAAAGUUGAUAUCAUUGACUGAGCUGCAUUUGAAAUCUACGGCCAUUGAAGAAUUACCUGAAUCCAUUGGUUCUUUGAAAGAGCUCAAGACUCUAGAUGCCUCUUUUUGUGCAUCGUUAAUCCGCAUACCCAACUCAAUAGGCAAUUCAACAUCUCUAUGUUGCCUGUCCUAAGCAAUUGUCGAAAGCUUGCUCAACUUCCAAACUCCAUAAGCUCCCUCGUGUCUCUAUCGCAAUUGCUGUGUCGGGAUGCCACUCGUUGAGACAAAUCCCAAGCUCGAUCGGAAAGUUGACAUCAUUGAUUGAGCUGCAUUUGAAAUCUACGGCCAUUGAAGAGUUGCCUGAAUCCAUUGGUUCUUUGAACAAGCUCAAGACUCUAGAUGUCUCUUAUUGCAAAUCGUUAGCCCACAUACCCAACUCAAUAGGCAAUUCAACAUCUCUGUCUCGCCUAGACCUAACAGAAUGCCAUAAACUUGCUCAACUUCCAGACUCUAUAGGCUCCUUUGUGUCUCUACAGCGGUUGUUAUUGUCGGGAUGCCACUCGUUGAGACAAAUCCCAGACUCAAUCGGAAAGUUGACAUCAUUGAUUGAGAUGCAUUUGAAAUCUACGGCCAUUGAAGAAUUACCUGAAUCCAUUGGUUCUUUGAAGGAGCUCAAGACUUUAGAUGCCUCUUAUUGUGCAUCGUUAGCCCGCAUACCCAACUCAAUAGGCAAUUCAACAUCUCUGUCUUGCCUUGACUUAACAGAAUGCCAUAAACUUGCUCAACUUCCAGACUCUAUAAGCUCCCUCGUGUCUCUACAGCGGUUGUUAUUGUCGGGAUGCCACUCGUUGAGACAAAUCCCAGACUCGAUCAGAAAGUUGACAUCAUUGAUUGAGCUGCAUUUGAAAUUUAAGGACAUUGAAAGAUUACCUAAAUCCAUUAGUUUUUUUAAGGAGCUCAGGAUUCUAGAUGGCUCUAUCAUGCAUCGUUAGCCUAUAGAUCUAUUUCAAUAAGCAAUUCAAGACCUCAUUCCCCAACUCAAUAGGCAAUUUAACAUCUCUGUCUCGGCUUGACCUAUGCUACUGUUAUAAACUUGUUCAACUUCCAGACUCUAUAGGCUCCCUCGUGUCUCUACAACAAUUGUUUUUGUCGAGAUGCUUCUCGUUGAAACAAAUCCCACACUCGAUUGGAAAGUUGACAUCAUUGAUUGAGUUGCAUUUGGAAUUUUCGGCCAUUGAAAAAUUACCUGAAUCCAUUGGUUCUUUGAAUGAGCUCAAGACUCUACAUGUCUUUUACUGCCAAUCGUUAGGUCGCAUACCUAGCUCAAUAGGCAAUUUCACAUCUAUGUCUUCCCUUAACCUAGAUGAAUGCCAUAAACUUGUUCAACUUCCAGACUCUAUAGGCUCAAUUGUGUCUCUACAACAGUUGUUAUUAUCGGGAUGCCACUCGUUGAGACAAAUCCCAGACUCGAUCGGAAAGUUGACGUCAUUGAUUGAGCUGCAUUUGAAAUCUACGGCCAUUGAAGAAUUACCUAAAUCCAUUGGUUCUUUAAAGGAGCUCAAGACUCUAGAUGUCUCUUAUUGCAAAUCGUUAGCCCGCAUACCCAACUCAAUAGGCAAUUCAACAUCUCUGUCUCACUUUGACCUAACAGAAUGCCAUAAACUUGCUCAACUUCCAGACUCUAUAGGCUCCCUGGUGUCUCUACAGCGGUUGUUAUUGUCGGGAUGCCACUCGUUGAGACAAAUCCCAGACUCGAUUGGAAAAUUGACAUCAUUGACUGAGCUGCAUUUAAAAUCUACGGCCAUUGAAGAAUUACCUAAAAGCAUUGGGAAUAUGCAAAACUUAAGGAUAUUGGACAUUAGUGGAACUCCCAUAAUAGAAUUGCUUGAUGACCCGGGAAUAUUGGCAGAACUCCAAGAGUUUAGAGCUUCGAGAUGGAAAAAUUCUGAAGGGUCACCUAGUAAUAAUGGCCAAUUGGUUUCACCUAACAAUCUUGGUUUAGACAAGCUUCAAAAACUAUCAGAAUUACGCUCUCGCGUACUAGCGCUAGGUAUAACCUACCAGAUCCCGCAAUCACUGAAUCUAUCCCAACUAAACUUUCUCAAGAAACUUACUCUUUCUAAUUGGCUUGAAUUUCUCCUACACCUUUCUAUAAAACGUUGUAGAAAAGCUGUGAAUCUUGAUUUUGUAUUUUCAAAAGUUCAACCUAUUAGUUGGGCAUUCUAUUUACUUUUUGUCUUGUGAUACAGUUCUCUUAAAGCGUCCUAAGACACCUGCAGCCAACAAUUCAGCCAUGGACUACCAAACAGCAGAUUCUAAACACGUUUUGAAGAGAUCAAGACCUUUUGGAAUCUUGGAUGAAGUACUUGUUUCAUCUUGCUUUUUCUUUAUCAUUCUUUAUUACUUAUAGGAUGGUUCUAUCUAUAAAGAGAAGUAUCUUAUUGGGUGAUCGAUUUUUUAUUAUGUAUGGGACGUUUUUCUCAACAUUCGUAACUAGAUUUGUCAGACUUGUUACAUUUACUUCUUGCUAUUUUAAGUUUUCUCUUCAUGGAAGUAGGGAUUUUCAAUUUUCCUGAAUUAUAAACUUAAGUUGGAAUAUAUUGCCCAUUAUUAUGCGAUUCUCUUUCUUAAUUAUCUUUCUUUGCAUGCCAUUGAAUGAAACCUUUUGAAAGCACUCACCCUUUAAGCUAGCUUUUGGGGUGAGAUAAGCCCAAGACCAUCCAACAAUGAUAAACUUUUAGUUUUGACGUUUCCAGAUACCCUUAACUUUCAUGAUGCACUUAAAGAAAUAAUUGAGGAUUUGAAGGAUUACAAGAAAGUCUGAUGGAGAGAAAAAGGAGCAAAAGGGCUAAGGUUGUCAAUUUAUGUUUGCUUGUCUUAAUUGUGUUUGUUAACUAUGUAAUUCAUCAUGACUUCUAUUAGACAUGUCAAACCAUUGAAUUAGACGAGAGCAUGUAAAUAUCUCUCAACCAACUGGUUAAACGUAUGGUGAGGUGUCAUAUUUUGGUUGUGUCUAUGUUUUUGUGUUUGGUAUUGUCAUGUAAACAAUCGGUGUCAAUAUUGGUAGCAUUAAGGAGGAGUGUGGACUAGGAAGGUGUUGAUUGCAUCUUCUCCCAUUACGCAGGCAUUGUUCUCGCGUAUGCUAGUAAAAUAGUGGCUCUCAUACGAGUUUUGCAUCUUUUGAGUGCCAUGGUUUUUAUCAAUUUUCUAAAGGACUAACUAGUUUUGUAAUCUUUAUGAUGUCCUAUUAGGUGAAUAAUUUGUCGGUAAACAUUCUGCCGAUCUCAUACAACUGCCCAAGCCUCAGUCAGAGUUCUUAUUCUUCAAAUGACUUGCCCAGAAAUGUAGUCAUUACCCUAAGUCAAGGUUCACUUGUUAAGAGUAUGGAUUUCCAUCCAGUGCAACAAAUUCUGCUGCUCGGUUAGCACUUCUUUCAUACUCUAUGAAGAACAUGUUCCAUGCUUUUCUUCAGUUGGAUAUACUUGUUCCUAUUGGAGGCCAUAAGUUUGUGCUUUGGUUCUUGGAAGAUUGCUUUUUGAUGUUCUUUUGACACUAGCUUCAGCUAUUUUAAACCACGGGCUAUGAUUCUUCAAAUUUUAUGCUUCAAUAAUUUUCAGUGGGAACAGAUAUGGGCAAUGUUAUGGUUUUUGAAGUAGGCAGCGGUGCGAGGAUUGCUUCGAGAAAAUUCAAGGUUUGGGAUUUGGGAACACGUUCAAUGGCGUUGCAGGUAUGGAAGUUGAAUUCUAAAUGAAAUCAUGGCAUCUUGUUUUUGGACAUGUGAUUAUGAAUUUUAAUUCUUUGUAGGCUUCUCUGGCCAAUGACUAUACAGCAUCCAUUAACCGUGUAAUGUGGAGUCCUGAUGGAAUCCUUUUUGGUAUGUACAGAUGUCACUUCUACUUGUAUAUCAACUUAAGAAAUUGGGCAAUACAUACUUGCAAAUUGAUGAAAAAACUAAAGCUCCAAGAACCAGACUUCAUUGCAAUAUUUUUGAGGAAGAAGUGUCCAUAUGUUGCUUUUACUAAUGAUUUAUGGGUUUCACUUUAGGUGUUGCUUAUUCCAAGCACAUGGUGCACAUAUAUUCAUAUCAUGGUGGUGAUGACAUAAGGAACCACCUAGAGGUUUGUUGCUAAACAAGGAGAAAAAAAUUAAGCUUCUCUGUUCUGCUGACAAUUGCCACCUACAUGUGAAUUCAACUUGAUUUUGACUCUAGCUAAUGUCUGAUACAGCUCGAGGCUCAUGUGGAAGUGUUAAUGAUCUGCUUUUCAUAUCCAAACAAACAGUUAUGUGUUGUGACCUGUGGAGAGGACAGGUUGAUCAAGGUAUAUUUUGAUUGUUUUCCUCAGCAUUAUGAUGUUUUGUUGUUUGAUCCCUUUUAACCAAGCUAGUAGUUACGUAGGUAUGGGAUGCAGUGACUGGGGCUAAACAACAGACUUUCGAGGGUCACGAAGCACCUGUAUAUUCCAUUUGUCCACACAAUAGAGAAAAUAUUCAGGUACCUGCUUAUUUCGUGUACUAACAAGGACACGCUGCAAGCAUGGCCAAUUGGCUGUACGCUUGACCAUUCAAUGGACUUUCUUUGCUAAAACUCAGUUAGGUCAAAAAAUUUGAUUCAAUUUGUAUGAGAAGUGUGAAUAUGUGUUCUAACGGACCUUGUUCAUUUCAAAGAUUUUGCAAGUCUUCCGAAUUUUGACCUAUCUUGAUUAGAAUGUGCUUGUUAAACAUGGUGACAUGGUCCAAAGAUUAAAUUGUGAAUUUGAUUAUUUCAGGCGAUGCUACUGAGCAUGGACAACUGGGUAAAGGUUUUCGCAAUAAUGACUUCCUUGUUAACAUAAGUUUAGAUGGAAAAUUGCUUUGCUUCCAUUAUUUGUUCUCCCUUAGUUUCUCCUCUAGUUUUGAUUAGUUAAAUUAAUAAUAGAUUGAUGUUUAUUGUGCCUGGGUGGAGCAGCAAUUGGCGAUGGCUUUUUAAUUUUUUUUUUUAAAUUUAUGAUUGUGUACACUUUAUUAUAAAGAUAUUUAAUGAUAUCUAUUAGGGUUUUAGGUGGAUGUGCUCUAUCUGGACAUGUUAUUGAAAUUGAUUGUAGGAUUGUUUUAUUGUGUAGCUCAUCUUCUCAAUAGCAAUAGAUGGGAAAAUUAAGGCUUGGUUUUAUGACAACAUGGGGUCAAGAGUUGACUGGGAUGCACCAGGUCACUCUUUUACCAAGAUGGCAUGCAGUGUCAAUGGAAAAAGGUUCAGACCAUCAGCAUUGCAUUUCAAGCUUGAUUUUAUCCCGUGUCAUUCUUUAUGACUGAAAUAACCUAUUUUAACAAUUUUAUUUGGCUAUAGGUUGUUCUCAUGUGGAACCAAUAAAGAAGGAGAGUCAUACUUGGUUGAAUGGAAUGAAAGUGAGGGGGCUAUCAAACGUACUUAUCAUGGACUUGGAAAGAGAUCUGAUGGGUUUGUGCAAUUUGAUAUCGCUAAAAACAGAUUUUUGGUUGCUGGAGACGAGUCCAUGGUCAAAUUUUGGGAUAUGGACAAUAACAAUAUUUUGACAAGUAUUGAUGCUGACGGUGGAUUGUCGGUAAUUCAUUAUUGUUAAUUUAAUCCAAGUGAAUAAGCUGAACCUUUCCAUUAAACUCGCUCUUUAAAUUUGCAGGCUUCACCUUGCAUUAGAUUUAACAAGGAGGGAAUUCUAUUAGCAGUCUCAACAAAUGACAAUAGUAUCAAAAUUUUAGCAAAUGUUGAUGGGAUUAGGCUGCUAAGGACAAUGGACAGUUGGCCUUUUGAUGCUCCUAGAAUCACUCUGGGACCUCUUAUGAAGGUAAGCUUUUUCAAGCUCACACUAGCUUCAUUGAGAAGAGCUCGCUAAAUGUCGUCAAUCUUGUACUGCCACCAAUGAUUGUGAUAUUUAGUUCUGGUAAUGCUACUAUUGGGGCAAACCUAGGUAAUAGAGGGGUUCCGGUGGCAAAAUUAAAAUGUUUGAUCCAAUUUCCAGUGCAUUUGAUAGAGAAGUCUAGAAAAAUCCAAAAAAUAAAAUAAAAUCUCACAGGAUUAUCUAAAGUUUUGUGUGGAAAAAUCCGUAAAAAUUAUCUAUGUAGUGUGGCGGAGACACUUGCCUUAUAAAUAUCUCUGACUCAAGCAAAUAUUUUUGCAUGUCUUAGCCGCUGAUGCAAUCUUAUGAAAAGGCUUUGGGUCGUCCAAAAGCAAACACAUUUGGGUCUCUAUUUUUAAAAUUUUUUAUUCUCAAAAACUGAUUUGAAAUGAAAAUUCAUUUGAUAAUGUAAUCUUUUUUGAACAAUUUUUUAGUUAAUAAAUAAUUUUGAAAAUAUAUAAGAAUAAUUUUUUUACAUUUCAAAAACAAAAACAAAAAUAAAAUUUUUUCUCAUUACUUGCUUUCGUCAUACGCGACCACCGUCACUCGUCAACCACUCGCCUACUCGUCGCUCUCCACCAAUUGAUAGUCACCGCCUAGAAAUUAUCUUUGCUCAAUUUCUCGUUCAUGGAUUAAAAAUAGAAAAAUUUAUUUGUGAUUAGAAAUUAUUCACAUGAAUUAAAAUAGUUAUCGUUCGUGCCCAUAAUACACCAACUAAAAUAAACCUCUCUACCUUCGUUUGUAUUAUGCAUAGUAUAAUAAAAGCCUUCCUUAUAUAUAUAUAUAUAUAUAUAUAUAUAUAUAUAUAUAUAUUCUUGUGUUCCCUUGCUGCCGCUUUCCGAAAUCCUUGUCCUAUUGUAUUACAUCAGCAGCAACUGUGACUUGCGGAGCAUUUUUUCCUCACGUCCAUCCAGUCAUAUUUUAACACAUCUCUGUGGAUUUUGAAUUAAAAAUAAAAUUCCCUGAUGAUCCAUCGGCCAUGGACCUCGGACUAGCCGGCUGCCACCCUUGAACACCACCGCUCCGGAGGCCGAGCUCCAAAUCUAGCCGAGUCGUGGCCUCCGCGCCGCACCAGAUCUAGUCCACCUUCACUUGCUUCAAGCUCGUCCAUGGCCGCCUCCGAAUCCGGUCGAGCUCGACUCUACGCCAGAUAUCGUCUGCCUUAAAAACGGUUCGAGCUCGGCGGCUCCUCCAUGACCGCCGAGAAGCCGCCGAGAUUUCGGUCACAACGUCGAGCUUCGCAGCCAUAGAAGGCCAUCACCUCCAGAUGUAGAGGCUCAAUGGCAAUGGAGGCCGAGCGUCCAGAUCUGGCCGUGGCGAAGGUCGUGACAUCACCUCGAGCUGCAGCAAUGACCGCCGUUAGAGGUCGCCUUAAGAGACGGCGUUAAAAGUUGCAGACGGCCAUGGACAGAGCGUGUAACAAGAAAGGAGACAAAAAAAAAAAUAGAAAAGAAAAGAAGCAAAGAAUGGUGGGGAACAAUAAGAAAAAGAAACAUCUUUUCCAACUUUUCAACAGCAUCAUCGGCAUGAGCCACGCCGACGACCAUGGACGGCCAGAUCUCGAGAGCCAACGGUGUCGCUGGCCAUGGCGGAGCAAGGUUCGUGUGUGAUGCCGACGGCCAUGGACGGCCAAAUUUGGAGAGCCAGCGGCGUCACUCGUCUAGGUGACGCCCAUGGCCAUGGUCGGCCAGAUCUGAAGAGCCAGCAGCGUCACCGACGCAUCAUCGGCCGUGGCAGCUCGUCCGAGGUCAAGUGGCUGGCUUUGGACGAACGAGGAAGAUGAAGCUAGAGGAAACAGUUCCACCACUCAAAGAAACUCCACAUCAAUAUUUUUUAAUUUAAUUCAAGACACGUAAUAAACUUUUUUAAGUGGAUAUCAAGGAAAAAAUGCUCGCCCCAUCAGCUGACGCGGGGCUGUGAAAUCACUUAAUAUUUUCCCCUUUCCUCACACAUCUACACACAUGGCACAUAAACUAGAAAACCAUCGGGCAGCAAUGGUAGGGAUGGUAAGUGGUAUCAUUACUGCAUUAGGUCGUUAAAUUUUUAUAAGGAGCUUUAUUUGUUGCUUAUUUUAUACUUAAAUGAUGCAAUAAUUGCAUUUGUAUGUGCAUAUUAUUGGACGUCUUUCAAUGACAACCUCUCUUUUGAGCUCUACAGAAGCCCAGAAUUGCCGAUGACUCGACAGACAAAUCACGAAAUUGGAAACUGACAGAAAUCAACGAACCAUCACAAUGCCGGUCCAUAAGGCUGCCUGAUAACUCUACAGCUACGAGGGUACAAAUGACUGCCAAAAUAGGAUUUUUCUCAUGUAAAUUUUUAAGUGGAUGUCAAGGGAAAAAUCUCGCCACAUUAGCAGUUAACACGGCGCUUUGAAACUGCCAAAUAUUUUCUCCUUUGCUUCUCGCACAUCUACACGCACUAGCAUAUAAACUAGAAAACCAUCAGGCAGCAAUGGUAGGUAUGGGAAGUGGUAUCAUUACUGCAUUAGGUAGUUAAAUGUUUUUAACCAGCUUUAUUUGUUGCUGACGCUGUUAGUUAAAUGAUGCGAUAAUUGCAUUUGUAUGUGCAUGUUUAUUGGGCGUCUUUCAAUGACAUCCUCUCAUGUGAGCUCUACAGGACAGUGAGAACAUGGCCGAUGUGAAGCUCGGAAUUGCUGAUGACUCAGGAGACAAAUUGCGAAAUUGGAAACCGACAGAAAUCAAUGAACCAUCACAAUGCCGGUCCAUAAGGCUGCCUGAUAACUCUACGGCUGCAAGGGUACAAAUGAUUGCCACAUUAGGACGUUCUUAUGCAGCAUUUCUUUUCCACAUUAAUCUCUCACGUUUCUACUAGAUAAGAACAAAUUUGAAUAGGGGUUGCAUUUAAUGCACUUGCUUUACUAGCUUUAUUCACAUGUGGUCCAAUGAUUUAUCUCUUAAACCUCGGCACUCAAAUGCAAUUAUUGCAUCAUCAUUUGGCAUUUUAUAGUUGACUGAUUGUUUCAACUACACAAAUAGGAAAGGAUAAGAUCAACAUUAAUAAAUCUAUGAUGAUGGCGUGGCAAUUGUGCUUGAGUUAUGUUGGCUGUGGAGGUCAUGAAUUUUAUAAUAACGUUGAAUAGCAAGAUGGAUGAUUCCUGAUUUAGAAUGUAAUGGUAUAUUUGCAUAACGAGACUUUUUUAGCCUUUGCUUGGAAUAUGGAUUGUUCUGUGGACUUUCAUGCAGUUACAUCUGGUAAAAGACAGAUUAUUUACGGGAUGAAUUUGGCUUUAUACAUGGCAUGCAAAGUAUAUCAUUUUGCACCACUUUGAUGCUUGUGGGGAAUGCUAAGCUCGUGAAAGCUAUUUUGACCUUGUCAAUUCCCAGAAACUGUAAGUGGAAAUUUACCUGCUGAAUGUAAAUAUACAAAACACUAGAGGCAAAAGAAUAGAUAGACAGCUAGAUGGUUUAAGUCAAGGUUCCACUUUUCUUUUGGUAACUGUUUCAACUGGGUUUAGAUGUCAUUUGUAUCAUAUGCUCUAUUCAUAUGUAAGCAUACAGUAUGCAUAUAUAAAUAUGUGUGUGUGCGCGUGCGUGCUACUAUGCUGAUAGAUAUGCAGGCAGCGUCGCCAAGUGUCUUUUUGCAUGGAUAUCUGCAUCUAUCAAUUAGUGCCCAAAUCUCUGGCAUCUUUCUUCUGCAUUUUAUUUUGACUUUCGGUAUUACAUUUGAUUGUCGCCACUGAAGCUGGUAAAACGAAACAGGUCCCAAGAUUGAGCUAUAUAAACUCGGGUCGUGCCAUUCUGGCAUUGUCAUCGAAUGCUGUACACAAGCUCUGGAAAUGGGAAGAAAGUGAUCAAAACUUAACGGGCAGGGUAAGGAAAAAAGAGGCAAAUUCUUUUGUUGUUUAGCGUAUUGUUAACUACAUUGAUUCUUCUUUUCGCAGGCUACAACUAGUGUAGUACCACAGUUAUGGCAACCUCCCGGUGGGAAUUUGAUGACCAAUGAUACAUGUGGUGCAAAUCCUGAAGAUGCAGUUCCGUGCUUUGCAGUGUUAGAGAAUGGUCCUUUUCUAAUAUCAGCAUCAGGGGGGGAGAUCUCUUCGUUCGAUAUGAGGACUUUUAAGGUGAAUAUUUUCCCUAAGAGAUGUAUACAUCCUCUUGUCAGUUUUUGUAGCACUAUCCACAAGGCACGAGAUGAUGAACUACCCCUUUGUGCUUACUAUGCCCAGUAUUUCCUCCACAUUUUUAUGGGAGCUAAAAUUAAUUGGUUCAAUCAUGUAUAAAAACGUAUUGAACUCUAAUUGUUAGGAGGUCCAUGAAAGCAAUUGCUCCGAUUUUCAUGGGGAUUAUCUGUUCAAGAGUGCAGCAUGUCCCUUUUUACUUGCUAAGCGAGAUAAGGGCUUUUCAGUGUCUUCGAUGGAAUCUUUUUGCUCUUAUUGAUUAAAGAAAACAAGCAGUGCUUUUUUAACCCGUCUAGAGAUCUAUUGGUCCAACUUGUUCUCUCCCUUUCCUAAGAAGGGAGAUGCCAUUGAGGCAAGUGCCUCUUGGCACGUGUCCCACUGUUAUUUAUAAAGUUGUUAAUAUUAUCCUACAUGCUGAUAUGCAGACGAUGAAAAAAUUUAUGCCCCCGCCACCACCGCCACCACGAAACAAUGACAUUAUUGAGAUAGGAAUGGAGGACUCCGCUAUUCAAAUUUAUAGUGCUCGAGCUGAUGAGGUGAAACCUGUUUUCAUUGUCGUUGAAAGUUAACCUUGUGAUUAUCCACAACAAAGUUACGGAUAUUGACUAUUUUACUUUCUCAGAUCCAGAGAAAACUAAAAGGACAUCGGAGAAUAAUUCAAGGCUUUGCCUUCUCAACUUACUUAAAUGUUCUCGUGUCUUCUAGUGCUGAUUCUCAGGUACUAGACCAAUGCUUUUUUACUUGCUAGUGAGACAAGGGCUUUUCUGUGUCUUUAGUAGGAUCUUUUUGCUCUUACUGAUUAAAUAAAACAAGGCAAGAGCUUUAUUCCACAUUCCAUAAAUCUAAUAUUCGAAGUUGCCUUCUCCCUUUCGCAAGAAGGGAGACGCCAUUAAGGCAAGUGCCUCAUGGCACAUAUGUCCAACUGUUACCUAUAAAGUUGUUAAUACUAUUCUUCCUGCCAAUAUGCAGACAUUGAUAACAUUUACACCCCGACCACCACCCAUAACAUUUCUGGCGUCUUUUCCUCAAUGUGUAUAUGAAGCAAUAGGAAGGGAGGACUCCUCUAUUCAAAUUCACGAUCAUCGAAUUCAAAAGGUGAGAACUAAUUUUAUUGUUGUUCAAAGUUGACCUUGUUAUUAUCCACAACGAAUAUAUGGAUAUUGACUGUUUCACUUUCUCAGUGGGUGGCAAAUCUAAAAGGACAUCAGAAAAGAAUUACAGGCCUUGCCUUCUCUAAUGUCUUAAAUGUUCUCGUGUCUUCUGGUGCUGACUCUCAGGUACAAGACCACUACCACAUCUUCCUUUCCAUGUAGACAUGCCUAUGUUUUGGGUAGAGAUAGCAAUGUAGUUUAACCUGCUCCAAAAAAUGGGUUGAUGUUCACUCUGGAUAUAUUGAUGCUUACGCCCUCAUCAUACGUCAGUACACGAGGCAUCCUUAACUAGGCAGAAUAAAUCCUUCCAGAAAACUUCUUCUUUUGUGGUGACAGAUUAAUCCCAUCCCAUUAAGUGGGAAAUAAAAAAGCUAUGUUGUCAUGUUGUUGCUUACAACUGAUGCUUGGUGUUAUUCUAAUAUAAAAUACAACGUAAAAUUUUAUUGUUGCAUUAGUCAAUCAAUGUUGAUGUUCCCUUUGAUAAUUGUCAAUUGUCGCUGCAGUUGUGUGUUUGGAACACUCGUAGAUGGAAGAAGCAGACUAGUAAGUUUCUGCGAAUGCCGAAUGGGCGAGGAGCAGCGCCUCUUGCUGAUACUCGUGUUCAAUUUCAUGUGGAUCAAAUACAUCUGCUGGUUGUUCAUCAAACACAGAUCGCCACAUGUGAAGCUCCUAAACUAGAAUGCCUCAAGCAGGUAUUGAAUAUUUUUUUUAUUAUGCACAAUCCAAUCUCUCAUCUCAUCUUGAUUGCAUAAUAAGUAUCAAUAUAUUAGAUAGUAUGAGUCGCUUCAUGCCAAAUGUGUGUUUUUUUUUCAUUCAUUGUUGAUCGCAACUAGUGGGACACUCGAGAAGCUAGCGCUCCAAUCACAGAUGCUACAUAUUCAUGCAAUGGCCACUCAAUAUAUGUGAGCUUUGAAGACGGGAGCAUCGGUGUUCUUUCUACCUCUACACUCAGAUUGAUAUGUUGUAUUAAUCCUGCGGCUUAUAUCCUUCCAAAACCUAGGUAAGUUGGUUAUUGCUGCUCACUUAACCUCAUUCCUUUAUGGAAAAUGGCAAGUCUCAUUCGCAAAGUUCCAUAGUCUCGUGAAUUAUUCAUUCCUUACUGAUGUAUUUGGCAGCUUGAGAGUAUACCCGCUAGUCAUCGUAGCACAUCCAUCAGAACCUAACCAGUUUGCGCUAGGGCUUACUGAUGGCAGCGUGUAUGUGCUUGAGCCAUUGGAAUCUGAAGGAGAGUGGGGUGGUUCUCCUGUUGAAAAUGGUGCUGGGCCUAGCACGACCUAUGGCACAACCAAUUCAGAUCAACCCCAAAGGUAGUGCAGGCCAUGUCUCUCCCUGUGAAACUUGUGAGCAUUACAAUGCUAAGCCGGCUUUCCUCCACCUUACUUGAUUCAAGUUUUGAGGGGAUGCUGCUGAGGGUAGAUUUUACUACCUCAGGGUACUUCCUUGCAACAUAGUUCGGUAUAGUUUGUCCUAAUCGACUUCUGCUCAAGUCUUGUGGUGAUAACUUGCUUUGUUAUAUUCAUUUGGGUUGACUGGAAGUGAAAGAAGAAAAACAUGAGAUUAGAGUGUAGUUUUGAAUACAACAAAUUGGAGGUAGAGAGGAUGUCCCACUUCCUACACAACCAGAAACCUAAGGACUUGAUUAUACUAGUUAGUUAACCAAUGUCUUUUUAGUACCUAAACUUAAUUAAUUUAUAAACUAAUUGUCCACACAAUUUUUGACCAUUUUAUUAACCUAUGUUACUAAAUGAUGUUCAUGUAUGAUUGCACGAUCAAUUAAAAAGUAAACAAUCACAAUCAAUGUAAUGGAAGUAAAUUAGAAGAAAGUAGACCCAGUGGAGUGUCAAGCGAAGAAUCAUAUGGCUUUGUUAUUAAGCCUCUGGGCAACAACCUGUGCUGAAUUCAAUUGAGGCCAAUUCAUCAAAAGAGUGCUCUACCUAAACCUAAAUAAAUUAAAGUUACUUAUCAAAAACCCCCUAAACUAUAUGUAUACUAACUAAAUAAACUAAGCUAAAUCUAGCAUCACAACUUAACGACCUAAUCAAGGUCUCCGUUCCUAGCAAUUUUCAAAUUUUUAUUUUUUUUUGAAUUUUUGGAAAUUAAUUCUUAUCAUUUUUUGAAAAUAGGGACCUGAGCUCCGGCUAUGAGCUGGACGCUGGUCUCACGAAUCUGGGAUAAUAACUAAUAACCACAGUUCGGGCUCUAAUGUUCAGGCCCCUCCAAUUCUAACUUCACUGAGCCCAAUUUCGAUUAUACAUAUUCUAAGCCCACUACCCAUCGUAACUACUCUAGCCCAUUUUCUCUUCCAACUUCACCUAGUCCAUCUUUAAGCCCGAUUUCUAUUAUAGGUAGAUUAAACCCUAAGCCCGCUCGAAACCCAUCUCAUUAUUAUAUUUAAAUCAAUUCUCCUCUUUUCUUACGUCUUUUCGUCAUUUUUUUUUAUAUAUUAUUUUCUUCUUCCUUCUUCCAGCCCUUUGUCCUCUUGGGCAAGUCAAGAAUCUAACCAGCCAUUUUCUCGCCGAUGAGCUCCAUAGAGACUUAACAAAAACAUAUGUGAAAUUAUAGAACGAAAACUCAAGAAAAAUCUAUGUUCUGAUUUGAUCUUGAUAACAAUGAAUUUUAAUAAGAAUUAAAUCUGAAUGCUUAUGGACUGACUUGUAGCAAGUAAUGUAUGCUAAAAUUUCUUCAGAUUGAACUAGAUUAGGAAUUAUUUCACCAAUAUAUCUUAGAGACAUUUCAUCAAACAGUAUAUGUGCACCAAAGGGAUUGAAUCUUGUCAAUAAUUGAAGUUUUUUUUUUCGUCUAAAAUCAAUGUCAGGACCAUGAAGCCAUUACAAAUCAUCAAAUUACAACCUAGAUCAUCAGUGAUUUUCACAUUAGUAACCUGAACGUGGUCCAGUCAUGCAUCUUUCCGAAACAGGGCAAGAAAGAGGGGAAUGAAAUUAUCUUCUCAAGGAGUUCUCAGUUGAGAACUAAAGGCUAAUGAACAAACUAACGGCUAGACAUAGUCUGGUUUCUGGGCAUUUAUGCGUCCGAGUAAUGCAAGUUGGACUUAAUAGAUGUGGAUGGGCCAUGGGCUUGGCUUGGACGAAUUGGAUCGAGCCCAUCGCAUUGAAUAGAUAUCCUUUUAAAUUAGUUGAUGAAUUGAAUUCCCUUCAGUUAUUAUUUUUUGUAAUCUUCAUUUUGGUUUUAUUUAUUCAUAUCUUCAAUAUAAACCGCCUAAGUUGCCGAUUUUCCUUUAAUUGUUGACUAAAAAUCAAACAUCCACGGCAGGUCCAAGACCUCAAAAUUGGUUGAAGCAAUUUCCUAAGAGUUGUUGUAAUCCUGAAGGUGCUACAAUUGAGAAAUGUUUGACAAACCCUUCACAAAAGCCGCAAUGCCCAUUUUCAUAGUCCAAGUAACUCCUAACAUUAAUUAUUCAUACUAUUUUCAAAAUAAUUCAUAUAUUUUUAGAUAGUCAUAAUAUGAAUAAUUUAUUUAGCAAUUUCUAUUAAGAGUCGAAUUGUUAAUUCGAAACUUUCAAGCAAAGAAUUAUAAAAGGAGAUUGCCAAAGGCAUUGGAAGGCAAUUUGGAAAAAGAAGUAUUUUAUAAGAGUCAUAAUAAGUCAAAAUUCAACAAAAUGUCAAUCGAAGUGCUUAAUCAUGAAAAAGAAGAAGCGAUACCAAUAUCAAAAACCAAAGAGCUGUUGGCAGAAUCAAAAUUUCCUUCUCAUCUCCUGUUGGUGUAUAAACUAUUUAUUUAGUUCCGAAAAGAAUAAAUAUAAAUUUACGUUUAUUUUGUCACAUAGUUUAACUUAAAAGUACUUUGAUUUGAUAGGUGGAACCAUCACAACUAAACUGGGUAAGGUCUCUCUUUAAUUUUUGUGGGUAUAUAUUUACAAUGUUAAUAAGUACCUGACAUUUAGAAAUGCUGUGGACAGUAGCUCUCCUUCAUCCUUACAAUGAAUGUCAAUACAACGAAAAUUAAUUAACCACAUUUAAGCCAUUCUCAAUUACUUGCAAGCAUCUGCACACAAAGUGAAACCUGCUUAUUUCCGUCUUCGACUGGGCUUCUUACUCUUUCUAGCUGGGGUCGACUGCUCCAAAGGCACUGGUAAUAGGGUUCCUCCUUUAACACCAUCUUUAUCAUUCAUCUUAUCGAGAGUUUUCUGGGCUCCAAUAUACACCUUAAGGUCUCUGAUCUGUGAAGGAUGACAAGGGACAUGCCACCGUCAACGCACACUAUGCACGCACGCGCGCAGAGUUUUCACAAUAUUAUAUACAAAUUAUUACAGUUUUAAGGCUAAAAGAAAAUACCUGUUCUUCUAAGUCAAGUAUUUGUUCAUCCUUCAACUUCAGUGACAGAGUUUUCCUGCAGAUGCACAGAAGCGUAUGUGUCCUCCAUUCAUGUCAAAUUAGAAGGGAAGACUAAAUUCCUGACAGCUUUAAUUGACUGGAAUCAUAUACUGAAAAAGUGUCGGUACAAUUGACAAUAAUGCUUAUUGAGGAAACUAGUCCACGUAACUUCAAUGAAGAUGGACAAGACGAGUAUACUUCAAAAGGCUGCAUGAAUUUUUCUAUAAAGAAAAUAUUGUAGGCAUAUUAAGGUACUUAAAAGGCAUCUACACCUAUAUUGCUUGACAUGUGAAGCUCAAAUAAGCUUUAAGUCUACCCAAUGUAUCUUCUUUUCCUUUUAUUUUCUAUUUUGUGAAAGUUGGAAAUGUCGACAUAACGCAGUAUGAACAACCAAUCGAAUUUUAAUUGGAAUUAGUAGAAUUUCAAUAUUGAACCAUAUCAAUUAAAAUUUGAAUCCUGAACCAUCACAGAUUAAUGUUCAAAUAUCUCCAGUGUGUAAAAAAGUACUUUGAAAUUGGACCACCACCAUGAAGAUUUUAACAUUGAUUUCUGUCGAUAAAGUUCAACCUCUAAAGCAGUAGCACUAUUUCUUCAGAGGAAAACAAAAUUACAGAUGGAGCAUAUAUAAACAAAAGAACAAAAUUAUGGAGAGCACCGACACAUGGAACCUUCUCCAUACGUGCUUCGCUCUCUCCUUUCUCCUUUUCCCCUCUUUGUCUCUUUCUUUCCCUCGUUAGAGUUUGUCCCAUCUUGCCACUUUUUUAAAAGGAUUCAAUAAAAAAACACCAAAAGCUUUUUCAUCUUCUUGCCACAUCCCCCAACUAAUAAUUAACCUAAACUUAAUUAUCCUUCCCAAGUAUGGUGAAAGGAAGGCAUAUUACCCAUGUGAUAAACUCUUACUCAUCAUAAAAUGACUUUCAUUCUUUUGCCAUUUGUUAUGUGUUACAAGUCACGUAUAGUUGCUAUUCACAUAUUUGAAUUAGAAACUGUAUUUCCUCUUUCUUCUUCGAACUUUAACCUUUUUUACCUCACAUCUAAAAGUCCAUUGCACGUGAACACUUCCUCUUCAUGAUACCCUUCCCACUCUUUUCUCAUCUUCUCAAAUGUCUGUUUCCACUUCCUCCCUCAUGACCAACCUCACAUGAACUAUUACUACAAUGCUGCUUUCAUUUUACUGAUUAGUUUUAUGAGACUAUGAAUGCUAUGGUAUUACUUGUCUAGAGAAAUCAGCAAUGAAAAAUACCUCUCUUCAAUUUCCUUAACCUUUCUCCGCAUCAUAUCUUGGUUCUUGAUAAGAGUUUGAUUAAGCUGCAACCACAAGGAAUGGCAUCCGUUACUGUUAUGAAUGAGUGAAAACUAUUGCAUCUGAUUGUAAUAUGAAAAUGAGGCAUGUGAAAAACAAGCAAAACAACAAUCAGCCUUGGCUUCAGGCAGCCCUCCUCUCAAACUUUAAACAAACAAAAAUCACAAAAGGUAAAACAGAGAAGACUAAAGCCUUACCUCUGCCACGGCCUUCUUUUCAUCACCAAGUUUCCCCAACUUACUAUGGAUGUCUUCAAUCUUUGAAGUCACACCUUUCUCGAUUGCUUCUAGUUUGGAAUUUUCUUUUCUACUUUUGGCUUCUAACAUGAGAGACUCAUAAUGCUAACAGAGAAAAACAAAAGAAUUAAUAGGGGAUGAUAUGUUCAAGGACUUACAAUGUAUUCUUUAAAGUCAGUCUAAGGAUGAUGGCAGUCUAUGUAACAACAAUGACAAACAUGGGUUAGAAAUGGAACACUAUCAUCAACAGUAGCAUGGGCAGUUUAUAUAUAAUCUACUGGCUUUUGUAAUUCUACUUCCGAUACAACAGGUUUUCAAUUCAGAUACUCUUCCUUCUAAGACACAUCACAAAAAGUCAAUAAUAAAAGAGUCCUGGCACCUUAGGGAAACUCAAUUCAUUUUCUACCACAGAUAUAUUAGUAAGAAAACAGAAAAGAAAAGAAGAAUACCGUAAGUUUUGCAUUUCUCUCGAGCUGAUGCAAGCCCACUAGUUCUCUUAUACUUCCUAUAUAAGCUCAUUAGACAAAUGCAGUAUGCAAAUCGACAGGUAUAAAAUGUUGUACACUACAUAAAAGCAAAUGAAGCUGAGAUUAUACAACAUGAGUGUAAUUACUUUCCUUCUCUUCACAACAAUUCUGACAAUCCCAUUGAUUUCCAAGAGUAAAAUGAGUUCACUUAAGGAAAAAAAGAGAGAGAGAGAGAGAAAAGAAAAUGGACAAACAUUUUUUGAUCUGAAAUAACUAAACUAAUGUUCUAUUAUGGUUUUCUCCUAAAAUAUGUGUACUUAAAAACCAUUACCUAAAGCAAAAGCACAAUCGAACGCAAGCUUUCACAAGUAAUGCUUAUAACCAUGGCUGAUCAGUCAAUAUAAUAAAAUGUAAAAGACUAAACAGGGAGAAUUGAAAUGGUCUUGGUAUACGCAUGCUUACUUUUCUUUGCACUUCCAGCUGACUUGAAGCUAGAUGAAUAUAGUCGGCGUGAAUCUACAAAAAAGUAAAGCUACAGUGUCAGAGUAAAUGAAGAAAGUCUGACAAUUAUAAUGGAGGCAAUAUCCACUUUGCAGGCCCAAUAAUGAACUUGUGACAUUUGGCCAACAAAAUGAACAUGUGCAGUACAAAAACAGAAACAGAAUCUUUCAUUGUCAGUUGUCAGCACCUAAAACAGUAAAAGCAUCAUGCACCUCAAAACUUCAAACAUUUCACUUAACUGAGUCCAAGCUCCAAAUCUUUGCAGGGAAAGGGGAACCAGAAAACAAAAAUAUUCAAAGCAUAAAAAUAAGAGGACACAUGAACCUACUGCUUCGAUUUUGCUGCUGAAGAGCGCCCCACUAAUUUCAGAAUCCUCGCUACAACCGCAGCUACCACAAUCUCCUUCAAGUGAUUCACAGUAUGAAUUCAUCUCCAAAAGCUUGCCGUCAGCUUUUGAUUGAUUAAGCCAGUGAACAUAAGUGUCCCCAACAUAAUCCCAAAUUUGCUGUGUUCUUAAAUCCAGAGAAUAGCAAUGUUGUGUAUUUUUCCAAUGGCUGAUUGCGUGGUUAUCUUUGUAUCUACAAAGCCAGAAAAGAAAAGCUAUGAUGAAGACAGCCUAUCCAAUCACUAAAAUUAUAGAAUGAGCGAAAAUUCCAGCACAUCAUGACUGGAUCCAUCACCUUCCACAUCCGACAAAACCACAUAUGAGACAAACCCAAAGAUUUUCCUUUGUUCCACAAAUAAAGCAGGAAGGUACCUCAUCUUGCUGUUGGCAUAGAUGGCAAACCUGGUAAAGAACAGAAACAGAAUCUUCUUCACAAUCUGUUAACAGAGGGGCAUCCCUGAUGAUGUUGCAAAAUGAAACUACAUUUCCAAUCAAGGUAAUUUCUUGCAACCAAAUCAAGAUAUGUGCUGUAAUUGACAUCUUUAGCAAUGUAAUUGGAACUUGCAAUAAAAUCAAAGGAAGACCCUUGGGACAUCACCAGCAUGGCAGACAUCAUGUUGACUUAUUUUAACCAUAAAGAUUGAUGAAUCAAGCAAAAGUUAGUAUGCACAUGUCUGUCGAUAUAUCUUCUACAUGGCACUUUUUCAACUUUUGAUAUUACAUGAGCUCAAAGGUACUUUUUUUAUACAAAUUCACAUGGACAGAGCAUAUUAGAACAUCACUUGAAAUGUAAAAUACGACCAUGAAACAUCUUAGCUUCAAGAUGGGGAAUGUUUGAGGUCAAAGAUCAGAAUUUUGACAUCAGUAUGAUCAUCCUGUACUUGUGAACACACACAUAACUUAUCAUGUAUGCUUGGCCACUGCUAUUACUUCUGUCACUCUUUGACUCACGAGAAAUUUGACAUAGGAGUGACAGGACCAUCGGAUCAAAUACACAUGAUGAGACAUUGCAAAGAUUCUUGUGUCAGAAUAUGAUAAUCAACAAAAAGUAACUCCUAGGAGCCACGCCAUUGACCUAUUCCAAAUCUCCAAAUAAAUGUCAUGAUAAUUUAAAAGAAAUCCUGAACUUAGUAAGCGCAAUAGAGUAAAGGAAAAUUCUACUUUUCAUUCAUAUACUUUCACACGACUUCUAAUCAUGUUUCCAUACUUUUAAUUUGCCUAACCAAGUCCAUCUACUUUAACAAUCUUUCUAAUCAAGUCUUUCCGACACUUAAUACAACCAAAUUCAAUUGAAGUGGCCCUUCGACGACAACAAUGUAUGAUGCCGAUAAAAUUUGCAGAUGCCCACGUGGACAUGUAUGGAAAAAUUUAGCCAAUGUAGACGACCUUGAAGUGUGACAUGGAUAAAAUAAUGGACGUCCACAUUAGAAAAAUUUUAUCCACGUCACACAAUGAAGACAUCUGGCAGUCACAUCAGCUGAAUUUGGCCUGAUUUGGUGUCAGAGAGACUUGAUUAGAAAAUUGGUAAAAGUAGAAGAACUUUAUUUAACAAAUUAACGGUACAAGGGACUUGAUUAGAAAAAAAUGUGAAAGUACAGAAUAAAAACAAUACUGCCACAACUGCUACAGCCAGUAUUAAUUAUCAAAAACCAACAAUUAAUCCACAGUCAGCAGAUUAACAGAGAGAUAGUGGCAGUAGCUUGGAAAUUACAUUAUAAAUUCAUCUAAUCCGUAUCAGCAGAAGAAUGCCUAACCUGACAAGACAAGUAAGUCCAUUUUGUACCACAUGAACAAUGAAAGGAAUGGUCACACUGCGUACUCAAAAUUCCACUGGUAUCUGGGUCCAAUCUCUGACAUUUUUUUAAAAAAAAGUUGCAACUCUGAACAACUUUUGAUAAACUCAUCUCACUGCGGAGGAAAUAUAAUCAGCAAGGGGGCACCAGCAUGGCUUACCAAGACAAACUGGACAAGAGGGUAGCUCCGUAAAGCCCGAUGGGGGUGUGCUAGCUACAUCAGCUGAUUCCGUAUAGUCCACUUCGUGCAGAUAUAGAAUAUGGCAUACCUCAGCCUGAAUGUCCAGAAGACGAGUAUUAAAAGUGAAACAGAAAUCGACUAUGUGAUCUCACAGCAUACAACAGGUGCAAAAAUUGCAAAUACCUCAGCAGGCGAGAAAUUCUUGCCAUUGAAGGUGCAAUAGAAACCAUCAGCAGCCUUUUGAUCGGUAAGCUCGAUCAGCACACUGUACCUAUCUUCCAUCCCAUCAUUCCUACAUCAAACGCACAAUUCGCAAUACAACGAUCACUAAAACCAUUAAAAAGCAUUUAAAAAAGAACCCAGAUCGGAAAACCCAGUUCCACCGUCGGAAUGCUUCCAAAAAAUUGAACUUUCAUCAUCGGACCCCCCCUAAGGCAUGAUCAUGAGCAAAUUUUUGAGUUUCGAGUCCAUCUUUUAGAUUUUUCGUCAGCGAAUUCUAAUUCCUCGAAUUCUCUCUUUCGCUUGCCCAAUUCAUCUCACCAACUGCAAAAACCGGUCCGAAGUCCCGAAGAAGAGGAGGAGAGAAAACAGAAACGAUGGAAGCCUUACCUGAUGAACCGGAGCUCGGAGACGUCGUCCAUCCGGGGGCCGCAGAACCGGAUGAAGUCGUCGGGGGAGAAGUAAUUGGGGACGGCGACGACGAAGAGGGUGGUGGAGCGGGCGCCGGGGCUCGAGAGGGGCGCGUGCGACAGCGUCCGGAACAGGUGGACCAUGCCCCUCCUCUCGGUGAACCUAGGGCUCCCCGGCGGCGGCGAGGAGGAGGAGAAGCCGCCGUAGUCGGUGGCGAGGGGGUGGUCGGUGUCCACCGAGUGGCCCCGGAAGAAGAACAUUUUUUAUUUAUUUCGGGUUUUCGAAAUAUAAAAAAAAAAAAAAAACUAAAUUUGAAAUUGAUAAUAUGUAAAUUGUCAUCCAAUUUCAUUGAUAUCAAAUUAAUUUUUGAUUGAGCAAGUCGAGAAUCAUGUGAAUUAUGUGAUUGCUUAUGAACGACAUAAUUUUAUAAUCAUCUGAUUCUCAUUUACUAUUAAAAUGAUGAUGCAUCUAGAUUGACAUUUGUAAUGAAUUCUAUAAACAUUGAAAAAGUAAAAAAUGAAAAAGGCCUAAACUGACCUAGUCGUGUAUUCUAUUUCUUUUGCUUCAUCUGACAAACAAAACAUGACCAAACAAGCUAGAUUACUCCUAAAUAUUCUAAAACUGAAAUGCAAGAGCAGUCGAGUGUCUAUUCGGCAUAAAAAUUGCUAUUACAGGUGAUUAUUAUGCAAGCCUAGUUUGGGCCAACAUCAGGAGUAAUGUGUUGCUCAAGCUCACUAAUAAAAUGAAUCAUACAUAGAAAUGUUGGGACACGGCUUAGGUGAAGGUCGGGCAAGCUAGGAUUUUUUACCGUAAGGAUAUUUUAUAGUCUCGGGGUCAUGUCUCUCAUUGUGAUGUUGCAAAGUGUAGAUUUUAUAGUCUCGAGGUCUUCCUCCUUACACACUUUGGCACAAUUUGUCUUAAAGUGGUACAAUUAACAUCCUCAUCGACUUGUAGAUUUUAUAGCCUUGGGGUCUUCCUCUGGACAUAGUUUGGCACGGUCUGUUUUAAGUGGUACAAUUAGCAUCCUAAUCGACUUCUGCUCAAGUCUAGUGGCGAAAAUUUGUUUUAUUAUAUUCAUUUAGGCCGAUUGAAAGUGAAAAAGAAGACUGACCAAAAAAAAAGAAAGUGAAAAAGAAGAACAUGAGAUUAGGGUGUUGCCUAAAGCGUUGUAUAUUCGAGUUGGAGACAGGUUUAUCUGAUUUUAGUUAGCAAGCUAAAGGAUCGUAGGAACAGGGUUUAGUUUUUGCAGGCGGCUUCUUCUCUUGUUCCUUUUGCGUCGUGCUGAAAGUACUUUUCUUAUGUAUUUUAUUUAUUCUUUUUAAUUUGCUGAAGUAGCAUUUGUUAGCACUUAGCAGGUUCUCUUUUCUUGUUCUUUCGCCACCAAAAACAAAAAAAAAAAAUCUUCUUCCUGUGUUCCUAUUAUGAACGCGAUUUGAGUGCAACAGCACUCAGACCUUGGAUGAAAGUAAAUACUUCGCCAUGGUCUAUCUCGACAUUUUGCUUAUUGGAAUGCAAUCUUUGGGAAUCAAGUUCCAUCUUUUUUAGGAUGAUGGUCUUUAACUGCAGUCGGUUAAACACUGCAUCGUCGGGGACACAAGUCGGUUAUUUCUCCAGCUUUUACAGUUAACGGACUUGAUUUUUUUCAUUUGCAAAUGGACACAAAGCAGGGAGGAGCAUGACAACGAGCCUCUUUUGAUCUCAUCUAUAUUCCUAUCACCCUUCCCUUACUACGCUAUCAGCCACCAAAGAGUACUUUCUCUCAGCACAUGAGCCUAUAUUGUCAUUGCAAAGUGCUUGCACUUCAAACAAAUGCGGAAGUAGGAUGUGCAAUUUAGAGUGUCUGAUUUGAUUCGUAUACAGCGGGUUCAACCCUCGACAAGUUUGGAUGUCACACCUUAAAAGGCACAUUCUUCUGAACGGCUGAGUUUGCAGAAUCAAUAGCAAAGUGAACCUAGUGGGCACGUUUUCUCCGAACAUUUCCACAAAAUUUGGAAUUAGUUCCCCUUACAAAUAGGAACGAGGGUUUUCCCCCUUAUGAGAAGAUGUUCUUGACCUGGGAGUUUAGAAGGGAGUAAGGGCCCGUUUGGUUCGGCUUUGGGGGAAUGUCAUUUGGAGAAUGCAAAUAUCUUUGAGAGAAAGAGGCUUUCGGAAAUGUUAGACCGUUUGGUAAAUUUUAGCAUUGAAAUGCAACUUGGCAUAAAUACCGUUUGGCAAACUUUGCAUUUGGAAUUAGCUUUUGGUAUUUUUUAAUUUCUUUAAAAUCUGAAAUCAAAUUCCCGGCGGCCGGCCACUGCCGACCAACCGCCGGCGACCGCCGGACGGCCAGAUCUGGGCCGUCGCCGGACCACCAGAUCUGGCCGCCGGAGGUCGCGGAGGCCAGAUCUGGCCUCGCCUGGUCGCCUGGCUCGCGCGAGACUAGGCGACCGAAUUUGGUCGGGUGCUCCGAGCACUGCUCAGCCCGUUGCGUGGGUCGCGCAACCCAGGCGACGCCGCCUGAGGCCGCGACCCACGCGACGACGGUGCGUGGCGACGGCAGUGCAUGGCGACGGCAGUGCGUGGGCGACCAGCUCCAGCUAGUUGAGCUCCGCCGGCUAAAGCUUCAAUCUUGAAGAAACAAUGAAGACGAGGAAGACGAUGAACAGUUAUUUUUUAGGGUAAAAGAAGAAAACUAAAUUAUCAAUGAGGGCAAAAGUGGAAGAAAAAAAAAAUCAUUAAACCCCCUUCAACAUGCCGAAAAUGCUGAAUGCCCAAAGCAGGUCCCCACCUGCUUUGGGCUUUCAGCAUUCCAGAGUAUUUUAAAUGCUAGCAUUCCCCCAAAUAUACUCCCAAAUGCUGAACCAAACGGCUGAAAUUUUUCCCAAGGGGCUUUUGGGGCUGAAAGCCCCUUGGGAAUGCUGAACCAAACAGCCCCUAAGAGCCACUUAAAAGCUGUCGUAGUUUUGGAGAUGGUAUCAAACGACCUCUCAAAAAAGUAAUCCCAGUAUGCCAAACAUUAAUUAUUUUGACCUUUUACAAAAUCGUUCAUAUAUUUUUAGACAGUCAUUAAAUAAAUCGGUUUUAUAGCAAUUUCUACAAAAGCCAAUUUGUUAAUUCAAACAAUCCAAGAAAAGAACAAUAGAAGGAGAUUGCCAAUGCCAUUGGGAGGCAACUUGGCAAAGCGAGCACUUUUGUGAGGUAUAAUAAGUCAGAGUUUAACAUCAUAUGGAUCAAAGUCUUUGAUCGCGAAUAAAGAAAUGGCAAAACCACAAUCACAAAACUGAGGGUAGUUGGUAUAAUCGAAAUUUCAUUAAAAACUACUGUCGGUAUAUAAACUUGUUAUUUUAUUCCAAAGACAAAAAUUAUAAAUAUAUUACCAAAGCAGAACAACAUAUAGAAGAACUGAAGUUGAGAUCUAGACUUCUUAAAUUUUGGGGAGAAAAAGUUUCUACAAUAAGUUUUUAGGUACUGCUUUCAAGAAUGCUUUAGUAAGAUUGGCGGAACUGUAACAACUAAACUGAGAAUGGUCUUUCUUUAAUUUUCAGCGUCUGGCCGAGUAUAUGCAUCUACAAUGUCAAUAAGUGCCGGACACCGAAACUCAAUUGAAGAGGAGGACUGGGGAAAGUCGGGGAGUUGCACCAUCCACAACCCCUCCAAGUAUAGAGGUUCUGCAGAACACUGGGCAGUGAAAUACCACCCUCAGGCCUCCCUUGCGUCCGCAGAUGCUGCUAACAGUACUUUUCCUUCCUACUUAUGACGAAUGUCGAUAAAAUGAAAAAACAAUUAACUACAUUCAUGCCAUUCUUGUUUACUUAUCAAGCAUAUGCACACGAAGUGACACCUGCUUAUUUCCGUCUUCGGCUGGGCUUCGUGCUCUUUCUGGUUGGAAAUGAUUACUCCAAACGCACGGGUAAUAGGGUUCCUCCUUUGACGCCAUCUUUAUCAGUCAUCUUACCGAAUGUUUUCUGGUAUCCAAUAAACACCUCAAAUUCUUUGAUCCGUUAAAGAUGACAAGGAACAUAUUGCUGUCAACACACGUUACAUACACAUACACGCGGUUGGCAAUAUUAUGAAAACCAUAUGAAGGAAUAAAGUUUUGAGGUUCAGAAAAUGUACCCGUUUAUCCACAUUUAGUAUUUUUUUCAUUCUUCGACUUUAGUGACAAAAUUAUCCUGCACAUGUGAAGAAAUCGUAUGUGUGCUUCAUUCAUGUCAAAUCAGAUGGGAGGACUAAGUUCUCCGGACAGCUUUAAAUUGACUAAACUCGUCUACAAGUUGCAUCAAAUACAAUCCAUAACUAUGCUUAUCUAGGAAGAUUAGCCCACAUGACUCGAAUGAAGAUGAACAAGAUGAGUAUACUUUAAAAUGCUGCAUAAUUAUUCUCUACCUUGUAUGCAUAUUAAGGAACUCAAAAGGCAUCUAAACCCACAUCGCUUAAUCUGUGAAGCUCGAAUAAGGGUUAUGUCGACCAAGAGCAUAUUCUUUUCCUUUUAUUUUCUAUGUUCUCGAAGUUGGAAAUUUCAACACUACACAUCAUGAACAACCAAUGAACUGUUAUUGGAAUUAGUAAAUUUUUAAUGUUGCAAUUAAAUUUUAGUCGCAAACCAUCACAGAAUUAUUUGCAAAAUUUUCUAGUGUGCAAAAUUGUACUUUGAACUCGAACAAUGACUGUGGAGUUUUGAACAUUAACUUUCUGCCGAUAAAGUUAAACCUCUAAGGCAAUAGCACUAAAACAUCAAAAGGGAAACAAAAUCACAGAUGAAACAUACAUUAACAAAGGAACCAAAUAAGAGAGAGGUCGUCCCGUCUCGCCACUUCUUUGAAACUUCUUCAAAAAAAAAUUCCCAAUAACUACCUACUUCAUCUUCUUGCCACGUCCUCUAACCAAUAUUAACUCAAACUUGGUCAUUUCCCUCCAAAGUAUGGUGAAAAGCAGGCAUAUUAUCUAUUCAAUAAAUUCUCACACAACAUAAAAUGACUUUUCCUUGCACCUUUAAUGAUGUGUCAUAAGUCAUUUAUAAUCACAAUUCAGAUAUUUGCAUUGGGUGUUGUAGUUUCUCUAUCCUCUUCCAACUACUUUCACCCUUUUUACCUCAAUUUGUGACACCAUCUAAAAGUUCAAACUAUUGAACUCUUCCUCUUCACAUUACCAUCCUCACUUUUUUCUCAUCUUCUCAAAUGUUAUUCCGACCUUCCCUCUCAUGACCGACCGACCUAACUUAAAUGAAUUAUGACCAGCAUUGACUUGGGCCAUUAGGUCCAGCAUGAUAGAACUCAAGCGGGCCGACCCUAACCCGAAUCUCUCUUCAACUGAAAUUCACAUGCCACAUGGCACGCUUCCAUUAGUUAAAAUCCUCGUUGUCUACAAUAGAACAAAUGACGCCCAAUGGUCUAAUCAAUUUUCGUGAAAACUGUGUGGGAGCACAAAACUCUAGUUUAAAAAUUUUUAAAAAAAAAAAACAAAGCUAUUCUACCACCGGCCAAUCAUUACAUGUUCCGACUCCUUCGCUGGUCGCGCCGUCGACCAUCAAUCUCAGGAGGAUCACGUUUGUUCAUUUCAUCGAGAGCACCAUUCCAGAACUAUUUUAAAUAUUAAAAAAAAAAAAAUGGAGCAAGGAAAAUUCAUCUCGAAAAGGCGAUUCCGUUCGAUUCAGUUGGCGAUUUCAAGCGUUCUGAAUUGAUCCCAGUGGCGGUCGCCCGCGUCAACAGCCUCUUCAAUGCCGCGACUCAUCUCCUUCGUUUCCCUUCCGCGGCCGAGAGCUUCGAAAUGUUGUCGUUCCGCUCGAAGCUUCUCCACCUGUUCAGGUUUCGAUCAUCGACACGUUCCAUAGCUUCUUUCAGUGAUUCGUGCGCCAAACCGCGGCCUCAGUCCGCUUGAUUAACCGGGUAGCAUCUCCUGUUCUGUCGUCACAAGUAAGAGGCCGAGAGUCCGAUUCUCUUAUUAUGAUGAAAUUGAUCAUAGCUGACUUUUUUUUCAUUGACUUCGAACAUCAUGUACUGAUUUAGGUUGAGUCUAGUUACAAAUUUGGGUUCGAAAUGGCUUUGAUCUGUUCCACAACCGAUUCACCAUAACCUGUUCGGUGAAAUGUGUCUGAGACCUUGGUGUGAAUUGAUUCCAGUAAUCUUCCGAUUUGAAAGCACAUUAGUGAUGUUCACUUGAUAUUGUUUGAUUUUUUAAUCUUUAGACAUGAUUACGAGUAUACACCAAUAGUUGCCAAGGAUGAAACUGACUCUCCGUUUGUUUCCUC